GAGAAAAUAUCCAUCUACCAGCUUUCGUUGAGAGAAAUCUAGCAAACUUCUCAUGAGUUUAUUGAUGCUUCUUAAUAGAUUCAAAUCAAUCAUUGUUACCAACAAAACGAAAAUAUAAUCUUCAAAAUUUGGCCUAUGUUCAUCCAAUUGAUGAAACUAAACAAUAUUAGUUAGUUUACGAACAAACGAUACAUUAAAAAGCAAAGACAUCAAGUUUUCAACACAACAGACGAUGUCUCAAUCACAGUAUCGACCCAAAAGAAAUGGAUAAACUAUUGAUCAAGGUCGGAUCUCAUUGAAAUUCAUGACGAUUGUUGCUGCCACUUAUGUAGACUACUUCCGGCAACCGACAUUGAAUAUUUAGAAAGUUUUCUAGCUACGUGUCUACCUUUUUAACGCCGUGUUUAACAUUAAAAAAGCUAAAAAAAAUUUAAGUGGAGAGAUAUGUAAGCACAUGUUUAUAAUAUUGAUUAUUGUGUAGUAACACAUGUAGUAAAGAUUUUUUUGGUUGAUAUCGACCAAAAUGAAGUUUUUUUUUUUUUUGGUGUUUUGAGAUUUGAAUGAUCAAUUAUGUAAUAUAUCUGAUUUUACCUUCCUAAAAUCAUACUUAUUUGCCUUAAAAAAAAAUCAUACAUAUCACUUAAAUCAUAUGGUAUUGAAUCUUCAUAAUUAUUCUUGUGCAACAAUUCCAGCAGCAACGGAGAGCAACGGAUAGGAACAGCAUUGACCAAAAAUAAACGAGCCAACGGAUAAAAUAGUAGAGAAACAAAAACAAAAAUGGUAAGCCCCUAUAUAUAAAAUCUCAGAAUACAGCCUACACCUGCAGGACAGCUCACACACACCUACCUCUCCUCCUCCUCUCUCUCUCUCUCUCUUCCUCUCUUUCUCCCUGUGACUCUCACCAUGCAAAGACAGUCCCUGGGCUCACCGCUCUCCAAGCUCCACCAGGCCCACGGCGGCGACGACUCUCUCGACGACAAGCGCUCCUCCAAGGACAUUUUAGCCUUUUCCGCCUCAUCCUCCUCUCCAGACUUCGACGACGACAGCAAAGCAACAAAGCCGCACCGACUGUCGUCACCGCCGCCCACCUCUCCGGACAAAGUCAUCCACGUCAUCCCUAUCCUCACCGUCCUCUGCUUCCUCAUCCUCUUCCUCUUCUCCCACACUCCCUCCCCCUCAGGUACUACUCACUCUCCUUUGAAUUGGCUUGGCUCGAUCCUCUCAGCUAUAAUCCUCACCGUCCGUUUUUUCUUUCUUUUUUUCAGAUUUGGCUCAGUUCAAUGGCUUCACUCGACUCCCUUCGGCCAAGCGCAUAGGUACAAUGCUGGUUCUUAUAUUCUCGCCUUCGCAAUCUUAUUCCCAAACUAUUUGUAGUUUAAUUCUGUUUCUUUGUUGUUACAGAUUCUGCUGACGACGAAGUCGGCGUCGGCGUCGGCGUCAAACGAUUCAUCGACAUAAGUAAGAGCGAUGUUUUGGCGAUCCGGAGCCUGAGGGAGGUAGGAUCCGAAACCCGGAGACUCGCCCCGAGAUCUCGCUCCCACAGAAAAAUCGCCGAUUUCUAAGCCGCAUUCCCUGGUUCUCUUCUCUACUCUCUUCCAUCAUCUUCCUCCAUUUCCAUACUGCCGGUUCUCCGGCCACUAGCGGAACGUCGCACGUGCGACGCUCGUCAGCUUUAGUUUUUCUCGCAGGUGCAUAAUUNNNNNNNNNNNNNNNNNNNNUUUUUUUUUGUAAACAAUAUUACCAAAGUGAAAGGAAUUCGACCAGAGAAAUAGCGCGUGAUUAAUUUUUUUAUUUAAUUUUGGGAAUUUUUGUUUAGUAAUGUUCGAGUGUGGCGUACGAUAAUGGGCGGAGUUUAGUGGGUGGAGGUUAAACGUGCGCCUAGUGGGUAACAGCUGGAGGUUCGUACUCGACCGUUAACUGCACCACCUCGGGUUUUGGUCGGAAUUUGCCAGCUGGAAUAUAAUCAUAUAUACGCGCUCCCUCUUUAUUAAUGUCACCGCGGGGAGCGUAGAUUUUCCGUGAUGCCGUCUCGGUCUGUAACGUUUUCUAUGGAAGAUUACAGUCAUUAAUUAACCAUUAAUUAUGGAAAAGAUUAUGAGAAUAAUUUUGGUGCACUGAAUUCUAUGCUGGGAUUUUGUAAGCAUCUAGCUUGGCAGGUCGUAGAUACUGUGUUUUUUUUUUCUUUCUUUUUUUUUUCGAAUUAAAUCUUAUAGGAUAGUAAAUUAUUAAGCUGAUUAAUGAAACGUGGAGAGGUCUGGAGUUGGGUAAUAGGGAGAAAGCAUACCGCAACAAGUGUCGGUCGGUAGGGCAGAACGGGUGAAGUCGAUUGAUUGCGUAGUUCGCAAGAGUACAAAUGAACAAAAGCAAUGAGUAUAUAACACCAAGCAAAACUAACAAAAAUUGGUAAUGACCACUUACUUAUGUAUGUAGAUGGAGACACUAAACUUGUUAUAGGUUGUUAAUGUUUCAAAUUAUAAUAGAAAUUAAAUAAAAUAUAAUUUUAUAAAUGGUUGGUGUGUCACUGGAAUAUUAUCGAAGCUGACUCCCAAAAACAAAUUGUGAAGUCGGAGACGGUAGUCGUGUUCAUGCCACAUAACAUAUGAGUCCCCGGACACACCAUUUGACUGGAAACUUCUCCCUAUAUUGCUACGCCUUCUUCUGGAAGUCUGAGGGCCUUUAGUACCGUGUCAUACAAUCGAACCCGCAUCACGAUAGCAUUGGAGGGUGGAGGGGGGAGCUGGCUACAUUGCAAAUGUUUUGGAACAUACAAUGACCUAGUAAGGCAUCACAUUUGCUAGAAUGAUGUCUAUUUCACUAUCUAUCAACUAUAAGAAUUUGAAUAAUAUGAGAGUUACUUGUGCGAAUAAUAAGCGCAACUUUUCAACACAUAUAGUCAAGAAGGAAGAAUACCCUAUAAUCAAUCACCAUUUCACAAGCAUAUCAAAACUAUUGACUUGUAUACUUUGAGGGCGUUGCAUACGUAUAAUGCUAAUAUCUUAUGCAUGGCUAAGUACGGUGGAGUGUCACAUUCUAUCAGAUUAGUUACGUGGGAAGCCAAAUGAUCCGGUGCUCUAUUUUCUUUUAAUCUUGUUGGAAGUAUGUGAUGAUUGAUUACUCGGUGGCUUCCAUAGGGAAGGGAUUGGGAUUGCUGCUUAAUUUUCCCUUGAAACUUUGUAACCUUUUCCUUCAUAUAUUAGUUUAGCCAAAGUAAAGUACUAGUUUAAUGCUUAAUGAUUAAGACUACAAAGCAUACAGAAAAAGAUCCAAAUGAAUAAUUGAAAACAAAGUCUUAUGAAAGCAUAGCGGAGGCAUCCAAUAUCGACAUUGCGUCCGAGCACCGUGAUUCUAAAUGAUUCGCAUCAAUUCAUUCGUCUCUUUCUUUUCAAUAGUGAUGAUUCUUCAUGGUUUCGCUAUUUCGGACUGGCUUUAACGAUUUCUUGAAUCUUUAAGUUCGGCUAUGUUUUCUUCGGUUUUCUUCCGUGUUCAAACUAGGAUUAGGCUUUGCUCAUGGAUGGUCAAUAAGAUCGUUGGUUAUGGUGGUUGUGGAUAAGCCAUUUUGCAUGAUGGUUAUAUUUCUUGAUGUAACCAACAUUUUGCAUAUAUGUUGGUUAUGGUGGUUGUGGAUAAGCCAUUUUGCAUGAUGGUUAUAUUUCUUGGUUAUAUAUCUGCUAUUAAUAAAGCCAGAAGGAAAGUUUGACUUUGUCAAAGGUUAAAUUUUUGAACUCCCCAAAAAACCCAAGCUUUAUUAAUCUACGGCUAUGUGUAAAAAUCAUUGCAAGGAUACAAUUGUAACUUUGUAAAACAGAGCCAGAAGAGAACAAUACGGGAAGAUAGGAAGAGAGAAAAAAAGAGAGAGGAUAUGCGGAAGAGAGGAAGAAGGAGAGAGAAAAAAAGGAAGAGAGGAAGAAAGAAAGAGGGAGUAUUCUACCGAGAGGAGGAGAGAAAAAAGGAAGAAGAAAAAACAAGAAGCAGACGGACCAAUGCAUUCGCUCCGUCUCCCAACUUGAAAAGAACUGCCAGCAGAACUACCACGCCACGAUCUCCACAUAGACAGAAACCGCCACAACAACGCUGGGUACAAAUAUAUUUGAACUACCUAUAAUACUCUUGAUUGAUUAAAACUUUAACAUAUGUCUUAUAACAGAUGAAAGACAAAUUAGUAAUUACAAAUGUUAGAAACAAGAAAAAAAAACAGAAAGAAAGAAGCUUAAAACGUGGGAGGUGGGAGAGAAAAGUGGGAGGGAAAUCAGAUUUUUUUUUUGUAAAAUGGGAGGGAAAUCAGACUUUAAGCAUAACUGUAAUAGUAAAAAAAAAUUCACACACGCACGUAGUGCGGGUCAAGAUGCUAGUCUCUAUUAAUAAAGCCAUAAAGCUUUUUUGACUUNNNNNNNNNNNNNNNNNNNNNNNNNNNNNNNNNNNNNNNNNNNNNNNNNNNNNNNNNNNNNNNNNNNNNNNNNNNNNNNNNNNNNNNNNNNNNNNNNNNNNNNNNNNNNNNNNNNNNNNNNNNNNNNNNNNNUCCCAAUUGGUUGUUGGUCCCAUUCAUUAUCACGAGUGGAGCUUAAAGACAAUGGCUCGUGAUUGUUAAAGCCUUAUACAGACAGACUGUUUCUCUUUGUUUGGUGGAGGCUGUGGCUUAAAUGAGCAAAGCAUUAGCAAUUGACCUCCCAACUAAUUAACACCUAAAAGCUUCUCUUCAGAUUAAAACAAAAAUGUGGCUAUUAGGACCUUUAAAUUUGUUCACGACAUUACUCUAUUUUGAAUUAUUAAAUGACAUAUACAUCCUUAUAUACAAUGACUAUUAAAGACAAUAAUUAUACAAAAUGAAAUAUCAUAUUUAUUCUCUUUAGACUUUCAAAUUCAAUAAUAAUUGAUUCAAUUCUUUAUUAUUUUUCUUAUAUAUUUUUGUUUUCCAAUUUCUUUUUAUUAAAGCAUAUAUAUAGUUUAUAAGAGCUAAAAAAAUAAUCAAAUCGAUCAUGUGACAUAAAAGUUUAUAUUAUCAUACAUGUUGAAUGCAUAUUCUUGCAAGGUGCAUAAAUAUUUUUGCAAAUUUUUUUUAAUAUCUAUCGAUUAUAGAAAAUAUAUAUUUAUUAAAAUAAUUUAUUAUGAGGUACAAAAUAGAGAUCAAAUUAUUCAAAAGGAAAAAACAUGGAGAAAAAAUAACACGUACAAAAGAGAAAAACAAUUAAAAAAGAUAUAUAGAAUAGUUCAUGAUGAACAUUUUCUUGCAUGAAAAAAAUAAUUAAAAAAUUAAGGUAGGGAUAAUGGAUGUUGAAAAACAAAACGGGAAAAAGAAAAAAAAAACAAAGAAUGAGAGGUCUAUUGAGUGAAUAAGAGGUAAUUAAUUGAUUGAAAUAUAUAUCAACAAAUAACUAAGGUUAUGUUAAGAAUUUGAAAUGAGGUCUAGUGAGCAAAUUCUUAUAUUGAAAAGUAAAAAUGAGGUGUAUAGAGCAUGAGAAGUAUAAUGAGCAAAUUUAGAGGUCCCAAUAGCCACACUCUUUUACAAACUCUACUUACAUAUCCUAAAGUCUAAUAACCUCAAUAUAGAUGGCAAGAAAUUUGUAACUAUAAACCAUAAAUAAACAGUCAUAGUUUUCUCCUAGUGCUAGGAGUAGCGACGACAGUACUAUAGAUAUUUUGAACCAUGAAAACCGUAAUAAUCAAAACCUUCAUCGAAUUACCAUGUCUACAUUGCUCAUAACUGAAAUUGCCACCCCCUGCAGCUCUCAAUUCUUAAUAUGCUAACCUCGCAUGAUCAUCCAUGUCAAAGCUACUAUUACCAAAUUCAUAUUUGGAUCGUAAAUUCACAUCCAUACAUGUACAACAUAUUGUUUUUCUUUCGAACUUCUAUGUUUUAUUCUGCGCUAGUUUUGUAAUCUUCGAGCUCUAUAUCAAAUCAUGUAUAAUCUUUACCAUAAGGAAAAAUGUUCCACGUUUAACAAUCCUUUUCUUGGAACUUAUUACAAUUCGUGAAUCGGAAGUUUUGGAUUUUGCUCUGUCGUAAACUUAUUUGAUGAUGUAUACUACAAGUAGGGGUGGGGCAAAUGUAUAUGUCCACCUAAUACACAAGAACAAACAAGGUGGAACCACCGCACCCAGUACUCUACUGCAUUUUAAAGACUAUGUCAACACUAGAAUAAUUCUAUAUAAGGACAUCUAUUUUUUUUAUUUUUUUUAUUUUUUGGAUUUCUAAGGACAUCUAAAUUUCUGAUCCAAACAAAAGGAAAAUGUAAGAAAAUGAAAGUCUAUAGAGAAGAAAAAAAAAAAAAAAAAAAAAGGGUAAGCCUACGAGGUGAGUUGUGAUCUAUGACAUUGUGGUGGCCAACAUAUAUAACAGAGCCCCUUUGGCCUUUGCUUCAAAAUAUCCAUGUUUGGCGUUUAAGUCAUUAUCUCGAUCAUAUGUAACUGAAAAAGAAGUAGACAUGAAGCCAAUUGCCCUGCAAGAACAGAAAAGCAAAGAGCUCCGAAACAAGACCUACGAUUGAUUAGGAUUAACAAUCAACCACCAAGCACCCCUCGUAGGAACGAAGAAAUACGUUCUAAUCUAGAUCGGGUUGCUCUAAACUUCAUGUAGAAGUUGAUUCCAAUCUGAUAUUGAGGCUAACUUUGUCUAGGAGAUUUUGCUGUCUUGGCCACUCACAAUCUUCGGCUACAAUUUGUUUCAACUUUUCAGCUCUUUCAAAAUGACAAAUAAAUUAUGACUGAGAAAAGAAAAAGGAAAAUUAUACUCAUGUUUGAGAAAGUGUGGCAUUGAGAAAAUAGUUGUUCCUUCAUAGAACCAUCAUAACCCUUGGCCAAAAGACCAAUGAGUCACAUGGUGAUUUUGGAUCCAUUUGAGAGCAUACUUAUAUAUCUUAGUUCUCAAGCAACUGCUCAUCUCAUCAUUUAGUGUUGAAGAUCUUGCAUACCCAGGUGGCUCCCUGUUUCAGACACUUUCUGCAAAUUUCAUAAUUGAGAUGUAUAGGCAUUUGUGCAAAAUUGAAACGGAGUUGAAUGCAAAUUUUAAGACUAUAGAGUCAUGAUAUACCGGAGCGGAUUCUACGCACCAAAAUACACUUGCACCAUUAAUGAAGUCCACAGACUCUAAAUUCCUUCAUUUCAUUUUCAUUUUUGAUCCGAUCAAAUUAAACGUCCAUAAUAAGUAUCUCAUAUUCAACCUCAUGUCCUCACUUUAUGUGUUGAAAAUACCUAGGACUACUUUUUAAGGUUUCAAUUAUGUUAACAUUAUUAGAAUACAUGCGUGAUAAUGUGACAUGGAUGACUCGAUCAAAAUAUUGCAUAUUAGUUGCUCAAUUCACUUGCACCUUGAUGCGUAGAAGAAUUUUCGAUUGCAUACGGGACUUUCAACACUUGGGAGUGAAUUGAGGAAUAAAACUGUACUAUAUAUAUUAGGUAUGAGUCAAGCAUCUGAAUUUGAAGCCUUUAGUCACAUGGCCGGCCAAGAUCACCAUAUUCCAAGUUAAAGAAUACAAGAGAUCGAUUUUCUCUAGGCUUUUAACAGUUGAGAAGAAGGAAAGGAAUAGAAACCGAGAGGUGGAAUCAGUUCGGGACUGAUACGGGAAUACCACAGGUUUCUACCCAGAAAAAAAAAACCCGCUACUUGUCCUCACAAGAACCUACCAUUUGGGAACGAGGGAGAGAGAGGAGUGAAGAGACUGAGAGGUAGAGAACUGGGAAGUGAAAGAUGAGGAGGGAGAGAUGAAUAUCUUUAUGCUGUUACGUCUCCCCUUUCAGUGGUUGGCUUAUAAAUUCAUUGAUCAAAGAAACAACGGACAGGGUACAGAGAACUUGAACUCAACAACUCCUUAAUAGCAUCAUCUUAGGUUUAGGGUACAAAAGAGUCAUCUAAGAGGCUUCAGGGCUUCUUAAUUGCAUCAUCUGAAGUUUCAAGGAACAGCUAAACAAAUGAAACAAGUAGCAAUAGCCAAAAAUAUGUAUUUCAGGAAAAUGAGAAAGGUAAUAUACCCAGAAAUGGAUGGGGAGCGACUGGAAGUUUGCAACCGAUACUUUGUCCAACAUGAAAAUGUUGCAAUCCAAUGAACAACUCACCACAGGAGUUUGCAACUAAACAAUUGACAAUCUUGCAACAAUUGAGGGGACAAAACAAGAAUCUCUUAAAAGGAAAGAGUCUGCAUUGUAAUUGAUUCUAUAGCUAUAAUAGUUUAUACCAACUCGACGUAAGGAACUUGUCACAAAAGACAUAACAAAUCAGUAUCCCCUAUAAAGUUUGGUUUACUGACAUUAUCGUGCAAGAAGGGUAAAAAUAUUAUUUCACAUGUCAAACAAAUUUGGAAGAAUAUGUCCUACAUUCACCACUUUCAUGCUUGAAGUUUAAAGCAAUAAAUCAACCGAGAAGGGCACCAAAAAGUUUGAAGGUAUUUACAACAGAUGAAAAUUAAAGGAUCAAACCUUUAACAGGUUCUUGCCCACUUGGUCCAGAUGCUUUUGGAGACUCAGAGAGAACUUGAGCAUAGUCAUCCUCGAUUUGUCUGUUCUUCUCCUCUUCCACCAUUCCAACCUUUUCUUUUGUCUUCUGACCAACCUCUCCAGCUGCCUUUGCAACCUUGUUGAAAGCACCCGAAACCCAUGCAGCAGAAGUAAACACAUAUCGGUUCUUCAUAAUGGCAGAUCCAGCAUUGCUGACUGUCUGCUCAGCAGCAGCAAAAGCUGACUUGGUUUUUUCCGAGACCUGGAAUUUCUGAUCCACUUCGCGAACUUUUUCACUCACCACAGAAGUACCAACACUUAUUUUCUCAGUGAGCCCAAUCUUUUUGUCAAAAGAAGCAACCUUUUCUGAAGCUGUCGAGGUCAACUGGUGUUUCUCAUCAAAGCCCUUUGCCUUGUUGACUGCAUCUUUGCCCAAGAUAAAGCCCUUAGCAAGCAUGCCGGUAACAACAUCCUCUGCCUUCCGUAAUGCAGAUUCAGCACCAGCAGGGGCCUUAUCAGUUACCUGCAGAGAAUGGAGCAUAUACAUGUCAUUGAAAUUGUAAUUGUAGGAGUACAAAGUAUGAUGCAGAAUCUCUGGAAAAGACUCUUACAGAAGGUGCUAUUGCAGCAGGUGGCAGCUCGUAUUCUGGAGCCAGAGUUAUGGUUACAGACAUGUCGACUAUUGUAGCUCCCUGUCAUGACAUAAAGCUAUAAGUGAUAAUUAAACAUGAUUCGCCUAAAAAAGCAGGUCCACCAUCUAAAAUCACAAAAUGCAAUUGCUAAAGCAAAAUCAAAGCUUCCAUCAGUAGUAAGAAUUGGUAUUCUUUCCAAUUUAAUUUUUUAUAUUAGUUACAUGGACCACCACUAGCCAAUCUGAGUCGAGACUACUUCCUGAAUAAUGCAUUUGAAAAUGGACUACCUGAACUUUGUGCAACAGCAUUACCAGGUCUUGCUAUAUGAUCACACACCCUAACUGAAUUAGGCACUCAUUAGUGAACUAUAACUGGAGCAGCGAGAGAUAAUAGACAGACUUCCAACCAAUAUUCAUAAACCUCUUCAAUAAUCCUACAUAUCACCUUAGAACUAUGUAAAAGACAUAGUAAUGCACUAUCCUAUGUCAUUUACCAGCAGUUGAAGAAUUUCAACUUCCAAUAAUGAAAGUGAAAUAACCAAUCCCAGGCUAUGCUAGGUUCAGUGUGGCCUCAAAUUCAACUUCCACAAACUCUUGUGUAACUAAUUUCUUUUGAGAACGUAGAUGAUAACCACAUAACCUACCAGGAGCUUUCAAAAUCCCCAGAAUGAAAUAGCACCUAUCAAUGCAACAUAUAAGGAAGCAUGACUUCCAAUUGUUCUGUUAGCUCAGCAAAGGGUCAUAAUCUAAUUUGCAUGUUAUUCUCACCAUCCCAGCCAGCAAUAUCAUCCACCUCUAAUUUAAAUUUGGACUGAAUGUGAAUCACACUAGAGCUAGAGCAAAUAAAGGGUAUGUAAUCAAGUGAAGCAGUAAAAUAAUAGUUCAACUAUGGCUUGGAUAAAGUCUAUACCAACAUAAACCAGGUCAAACAGCAUCUGUUUUUCAACAGGAUACAUGCAUCAAAUCAUGAUCGAUACGAGAAGAUCCAAGCAGUUGAGCAAAACCAUUUAAAUGUGUGUAUGUAAAUCCAAUUCUACUCACCAGUCCCACCAACCUAUAUUAGCUAUAUGCCUAUAUCAAUUUCAAGUGCAUUUGUUUGUUUCUUAGGUGCCCACAUGUUGGUAAAGCAUAACUGAUAUACUUGGGGCGUCAGGCCAAACCAUGAAAAGGGGAUUAGCACGACCGCUGAGCAAUGCUCAAUAAUUUAUCAUGAGAAUAAGAGAAGAGAAGGACAAAGCGUAAUAAAAGAAGUUCCAUUACCGAAAGAAGCACGGCAGUCUCUGCUCCUUGUACAUCCUUGAAGGUAACAUAUGCAAUUUGGGACCGCUCAGUGUCACUGCAUGGCAUAGGAUAAGCUUCAUUCGUACAUAAAUACAGAAAAAAUGAGUUGUGAAAUCAAACAAAACAAAGCAUCAAACUAAACAAGAUAUCAAACCUAUGCAUUUCCACAUAGGCGAUAUCGCCAGAAAAGGAAAAGAACUCCUUUAUGUCUCUUUCACUUGCACCCAAGGAAAGGUUGCUGACCUUGAUGGUGGUUACCUGCAACAAAAAUAUAUGAGUGAGCAUAAACAAUAUUAGAAGCAUAGAUAUGCAAUGAUUUUGGAGAUAUAUCAAGCCAAGAAAUAACAAUGCAACAGAACAUUGCUUACAGGAGGUAGACAGGACAUAUGACACUAGACACAAUAUGCGGCUAUGCCACCACAAAAAGAAAACCUACAUUCUCCACAGAGUCAGAGAUAACCAAUGAAAACUGAAGAAAAAGUAGGGAAAAUAAAUGAAAACGUAAAUAGAAAAGUUUAUUGACAGCGUUUGACAGGCAAUAAUGGGUCAGUCAAAUACAACCAUGCACUAAUUUUAUGAAAUACCAAUGACAGGAACCAACUGUUGGUGCUCACUGUUUUGACUUAGACCCCAACCUUCUACAUUGAUUAGUUCAUUGGGUCAACCAAUAUUAAUUGGAAUAAAAUUAAUAGGUAUUAUACAAACCUUUUUACAAGAAAGAACCCAUAUAAAAGUAUAAACCUCGCAAGUCACAAGAGAGUGGACAAGUGGUGUCCAGGGUUCAGCAACACUUGAGCUUCUCACAUCCUAGUCCAUCCUCCAUCCAAACUAUUUACAACCGUAAGCUUUUGUCAUCAGGGACAUCACAAUCUAUGUAUAGCAAUCCACUCCUCUCUUUGACUCUCCUAAUGACCCUCAUUUACUUCUACCAUUUAACAGAAUUCAAGUUGCAACAAAUUAUACGUCACAAAAAGGUUGUAAAAGCAGGAAACUAAACACGGAGAAUAUACUACUUUCUCACCUCUGAUAAGCAAAUCAAUGCUAAUUUUACGAGAAAAGGUAACUCGUUUAGAAGUUGGCUUUGUUUUGACUUUAGUACACGCAAUCGGAUCUCUAAAAUAAUUUUCUAAUUGUAGUCAUAACUAUACUUACAAGACUACAACCACAGCAUCAAUCUAAUCAAAUCAACCUUUCAGAAUUCUGAACCGCCUUUCGCAAACGAUCAUUGGCGAUAAUAUGAGCAUAUAAAACAAGUCAAACACAGAAGACAAUAUCCAUUGAGCGUAAAAGCACAUUGACAGACCAAAUCUAUGAGCAUAUGCAUACAUAUACAUAUACAUACAAACAUAUGCGUAUCUAUAUUUACAGUUUUUCCUUAAAAGUACCAAUCCAAAUUAACCGAAUCAAUUAAAUCUUAUUCUUGCAUGAAGCUCCAUACAGAUCUAAAAGUACACUAUUCCAAUCAGGCAAUCACAGAGAGUCAAUGAGCGAACAAGUUCAAAAAAAUCGCCGAAUCUAUACAGAGAGAACCUACAGCUCCUAAUCAUAUAUACACGCUUCAAAGCUCAAACACCUCAACUCAAUCAAAUUUGUGAUAUAAAGAAAAUCAGAAAUAUAUAUAUAUAUAUAAACAGAUUGAGAGAGAACUGACCGACAUGGCGAGGUGUUAGGGAAGAAGAUCGAGCUGCGGGGGUUGAAGAAGCGGUGGUGCCGGAGACUUGCCGGAGAGUCGGCGCCGGAGAGAGGUGGAGGACUUGUUCGGACAGUUACGAGUCUUUGUCGCGGUCUUUCUGUGAGAGAGAGAGCGAGAAAAUUGGGUGAAAUGAAGAAAGGGAGAUAUUUUAUAGUGACGCAAGCGCCAAAGGGAGGAGGGUUUUAGGAGGAGGCACGUGCGGGCACGUGAGGUCACGGAUUGUGGCUGUGGGAAAAGCUUUGAAACGUGAGACGUGAAACGUGGAGCGUGUUGAUUGGGAUUUUAUAGGACUGGGGUGGGGCCUCUCUUCUAGAACAGUUUCCACGACGCGGUUAGAGGAAUGCAUGACUCCGGGGCGGUGAAAAAGAAAACGGAACUUACUAGCUUUUUACCCGUUAGUAAUUUUGGAAACUGUUUUGUGAUCUAUCUAGAAUUUCAUCCCUUGCAGGUUGCAACAUUAUAUAUGCUGAUAAGCAUUAAAAUCUUUGCGAUAUAUUUGUUAUAUCUUUUGAUGUUUUUUUUAUAGUUUUUUAAAGAUCGAUAUAUCUAAAAGGGUAAAUAUUUUAUGAGUGCGGUUAUUAGGACCUCUAAAUUUGCUCACUAGACCUCAUUUUAUUGUGAAUUAUUAAAUGACAUAUAUAUCCUCGUAUACAAUGACUAUUAAGGACAAUAAUUAUACAAAAUGAAAUAUUAUAUUUAUUAUAUUUAAACUUUCCAAUUCAAUAAUAAUUGAUUAUAUUCUUUAUUACUUUCCUUAUAUAUUUAUGUUUUCUAAUUUCUUUUUAUUAAAACAUAAAUAUAUACACACACGGAGAUGAUCUAAAGAGGACGUCCGCACACCCUUAAAGUGCAGAAGUCCUACCGUUCUCCACCGUACGGCUCAGACGAUUGGCGCGCCUCCACCCUAGCGGCUCCAGCAGCCGUCCCCGUUCAUCUUCUCCCCCGGUGAGUCCGCCGAAUUCCAGUUUUCCGACAAGAUUGAUUUUCUUUGAAGUUUUGAGUGAUCUCGCCGGAAAACUGGAAUUCGACAGACUCGCCGGGGAGGGAAAAUGAACGGGGACGCUGCUGGAGGCCGCUAGGGUGGAGGCGCGUCGUCGCGUCGUCGUUGGAGCCGUACGGUGGAGAACAGAGGGACAUCCGCACUUUAAAGGCUGUGCGGACAUCCUCUUUGGAUCCCGACUGUAUAUAUAUAUAUACGGAUUUUCUCAGCUGCGUACGUCCGCACCAAAACCGUUGGUGCGGACGUCCGCAGCUAGAAGGGCUAUAUAUAUAUAUAUACAUGGCUUCUCUGCUACGGACGUCCGCACCAUUUUACGUAGGGGUGGAACCGAUACGGUAACUGAUUUUUUUGUCCCAAACCGUAAACCGUCCCGACUUAUGUCGGUAGGUAAAUCUUGAUACCAAUACCGACAGAAAAAGUCGGUAUCCCGAACCUUCGGUAACCGAACUUUCGGUUGGUAUCGGUACGGUUGGGCCUAGAACCGAACUUUAUUGGGCCUCUUAAUCUGUCACUGUUUUAAAUGAAAAAUAGGCCCAGACUAAAAAAAAAAAAACAACAACAACAGCAAACUAGUGAUUCAAAGUUUCAAACACUGUAGAAACCAAAUAUUUUCUUGUGUUUCACAUGUUAAAUUCCAACCCAAAUAACAAAAUUACAAAUCCACAAAGUCACAAACUCAAUCUGAUAGUCUCAGACUCUUAGUGUCUCUCACACGCAACAAACUUACAAAGUUACAAAGGCACCCUAUCAGCCUAACUGCCUAAGUGACUAACUGCAAGGCUACUGUCUCACAUGUCUGCAACUGCUGAACUGCACAUUCUAAUACUAAGUUACUAACAUAGUAUUGACUAUUGACAGUAUCACAAUAACACUAAAGAAAUGAAAGCCUAAUAGCAAUGCACUAAAGAGGCAAAGACCAAAACCUGAAACAAAUUACAAAUGCACAACUGCACAAGCACAACUCACAAGUCAAAACUCUAAAAUCAUUAAAAUGCACACGAUUGACAAUUGACAACACCAAACUCUGAAACAAAUGCACAACACCCUAAAACAGUGAAUCUUCAAGUCACAAUUUAAUGAUUUUACUCAAAAGAAAAGUCACUUGUCACAACUCAUAACUCACAAGGCACAAGCAUUAGUUUAAAGUUUCAACUGAAAUAGACAAAUAGUAAAGACUAAAAGAGUUUAAACUUUAAAGUCUUAACAAAAAAAUAACUAAAACAUCACGACAAAUUCAGAAACCAGCCAUUUCAAACACACUGCUAGCCUGCUGCUACACAUUGGUUUGCCCAGAGCUUCCAGUAAGCUCAAUUGGGGUUGCUGCUGCCUCCUGUCCUUGAUUGAAACCGUUUUCUGUAAAAUAAAUAAAAUUCCCAUGGUUAAAAAAAUAAGGUAUGUGACAAAAUAGCAAAUUCACANNNNNNNNNNNNNNNNNNNNCAAAUAUAUCCUUGGCUAGCUUUGAUAGCACUGGAUAGGUUGCCUCAUUGCCUUUCCACCACUUUGCAAUUUCAAAACUCUUGGAGAAGAUGCUGACAUAUCUAUUGGAUAAGUACUGAUCAACUUCAUUUCUUAUACAGUUUGAUUGCUCAGCCACCCUCUCCCUUGCUAUCUCCUUGCUAACCUCAUCGAGGCCAUCCAAAUCAUCUGCUUCCAUUUCAAAAUCAUAGAGAGAAGUCUGCUCAGCCAUCUCAUUUGUGUCUUGACCUCUGUAUUCUUCAUACAUCUUCAUCAAUAUCUUCUUCAAGUCACUUUCUAUCGAUUCAAUAACCACGACACUUGCUUUAACUUUUCUCAUUGCCACUUUAGCCCACUGCAACUUGUAUCUUGGGUCCAGAACAUUAGCUAUCAUGGUUACCUUAUUCACAAUCUCAAAACUGCCCCAAUACUUGUCAAACUUCUCCUUCAUAGAAGCAGCAACCCUCUUCAAAACUUCAUCAGAAGACUCACAAGCCUUGUUAAUCUCAGUCUGCAAUGUAAUCAUCUCGACAAAUAAGAUGUUUGCAGUCAUUGUUUUCCAUGCACUAAGCCUCAAAGUAGCUUCAUACAAUUUCUUCAAAAAAAGACAUAAGUCUUCUGCAUUCCCCCAGUCAUCAUAAGUUGGUGGUCUGACCUUGUCCUGAAAAUAACUUUUAAAUGCACCAUCUUCUUCUGCCAUCCUCCCAAACACAACUUCAUACUUCAGAGUAGCUUCUAGCAUAAGAAAAAUACUAUUCCAUCUUGUUAUUACAUCCAAUGGAACAUUGGCAUUGGCCCUGCAUUGCUCCAAAACAACAAACUCCCUAAACUUGUCAAACCUCGAAGAUGAACUCCUCACAUAUUUUGCACAAUUCCAUAUCGCUGCAAUCCCAUUCUCCAACUCCUUCAAACUAUCCUUAACUAUCAAGUUGAUAAUAUGACAAGCACAUCGUAAAUGCAAAUACUCCCCAUCAAACAUCAAAGUCUUGUAGCCCCUUAACCUUCUCUUCAUGUAUUGCACCGCCACAUCAUUAGCAGAUGUAUUGUCGACGGUGAUGGUAAAGACUUUUGAGAUCUCCCAUUGCCUCAAACAUUGCUCAACAGCUCUGCCAAUAUCCUCACCUUUAUGACUGACAAUUGGACAAAAUUUUAUGAUUCUUUUGUGUAAUUUCCAGUCAACGUCCAUAAAAUGAGCUGUAAGAACCAUGUAGUUGAUGUUUUGUAUCGGUGUCCAAGUGUCCGUGGUGAUCGAUAUUCUUGUGUCUGCUGCCUUCAAGCCACUCAACAAAAGCGCCUUCUCAUGAUUGAACUUAUCCAACACACCCUUGGCAACUUGCUUUCUAUUUAAUAUCGGCCACUCCGGUUGUAACUCAUGGACAAAUUCCCUAAAACCCUCCUUCUCCACAAACCUAAAGGGUAGUUCAUCCUUAAUUAUCAUUGCCAUGCACUUAUCAUCACACCUCUUUCGGUUAUACUUAUGAUAAGUUCUUGCUCCACUCACAUUAUCUACGAACAACCUAGACUGUUUGGGAUCAGAAUCAGCUAGUUUGGGAUGCAAUGUGUGUUCCAAACAUCUCUUGUUUACAUGAGACCACAUUGAGCUUGUUUACAUAAGAUGUGCACCACUCCGGAUCGAUUUCAUCCGAGGUUGAGAACUUACAUCUAGUAAAGUAUGCCCAAAGAGGACUUUUGUUGGUUGGUUCUUUUCGUUUCUGCCCACAAGAAGAUUGAGGUUGUGAGCUUUGUGGCCGAGGUUCAGGUUGAGUUUGAGGAUGAGAUUGAGGUUGGGAUUGAGGUUGGGAUUGAGGUUCAGCUAAAGGUUGAGGGCGUUGAGGUUCAGGGCGAGGUCCUAAUGGGGAUGUGUGUAAGGAUGCAGUUCCCUCUACAUUUGCAGUUGAUUGAAUAGAUGGAGAAGAGCUACUAGUCUGACUACUUUGACAUUGGGACAUUGUUGUAUCCACUAUGAACAAAUCAAAAAAAAAAUACACAAUUAACAACUAAGUUGAAAUAGAGUUGAAAUAAGAUCAUUCCUAUUUACAGCAAAUCAUGUUAAACAUUACACCAAAAUGACCAAAUCAUGACAAAAACCAAAUCCGAGAUAAGGAAUUCUGGACUUAAUCUAAUUCUUAUUUCCGUCCAAAUAAGCUAAAAUUAUCUUCCUGCAUUCUUAAUAACAUAGUACCUAAAAUCGCAGGCCAUUUGACUCAUAUUUGAGGUGCUAGACAAUUAACCAAAAUAUGAUGCAGUUUUAUGUUGAAGGAAAGCUUACACGGAAAGCUGAUUCCAAAAAGGCAUAAGUAUCUCAAAUAAAGUCUGAAAAUGGUGUCGUAAGUUUACUUUGAAAAGUUUAAGAAUGUCUAUGUUCAGUUGGUGAUGAAUCUGAACAAGUUUAAAUGAAAGAAACUAUCAAAAUAAAAAAGAAAAUGCAGUAACAUGGUAACAAUUUUGCAGAAUUUCUUAAUGCAGACUCUCAAUUUUAUAAAUUCAUAGUUUAAUGUAAAAAAAUCAUUUUCAAGAGAUUUUAGUUCUGAAAUGAUCUAUAAGAUGUCUACUAAAACCUUUGUGAAGAGACUACUUCCAAAUACCCAACCGAAGUAUACAGUGUUUAGUAAAUAGACAACUGGGUCGAAAACUCAGAAAACUGAACUGCAGAAUUUCUUGAUGCAGACUCUCAACUUUGAAAAGUCAUAUAUUAAUCUACACAAAUCCUUUUUAAGUGAUUCAAAUUCUGAAAUAAUCUUUAGGAUGUCUGCUACAACUUUUAUGAAGAAACCUACUUCAAGUAAUCAACCUAAAUGUACAGUUUUGUAGUGACAAUAAGACUGGUUCCAAAAGUCAGAAAACUGAUUUGCUGAAUGUAGACCUUAACUUUGAAAAAUCAUAAUUUAAUCUAGAAAACUCAUUUUCAGGAGAUUCAAAUUCUUGAAGGAUAUUUAACAUGUGUAUUGCAAGUUUCAUGCAGACACCAAUUCCAAAUAAUGAACCGAAAUGUGCAGUUUUUAGGAAAAAGGCUGCUGUGUUCAAAACUCAGAAUGACUGAUUAAUAUGGACCUCUGUUUCCAGCCUCAAACACUUGAGCAACGAAUUCUAAAUGAAAUUGCAUGAAACUACACAGAUACCAAGCCUAAAGUACAAGCUUUACCAUACAUGCAAAUAGAUUCUGAAAUGAAUGUCUAAAUCAUAAGAUAUGGUUGCUCAAAGCAUAAUCAUCCCGCUCACAUCACCAACUUAAAAUUCGAUUACUAAGAACUUAUCAAACAUCCAAGAACAAAUAAGUGAAAUAACAUAUUCAAACUAAGAACUAAAUAACAUCCAAGAACAUCAAACAUCCAACAACCAAANNNNNNNNNNNNNNNNNNNNGCGAUGAGCCGAUGAGGAGCGAAUCAAAGGACGGACUGAGUGAGUGAGUGAGGAGUGGGGAAUCGAUUUGGGAAUUGGAAAUCGAUUUAGGAGAUUGAGAGAUGAGAGUUUGACUGUUUAAGAGCGAAAGGAGAGUGCGAGCGUCCGAGCCCCGAGCCCCUGAGCGAGUGACAGAGAGGAGAGAGUGACUGACUGAUUGACUGACUGAGUGUUAGGUUAGAUUUCAACGGUUAGUAUCCAUUCUUCUUGAAAUCAACGGCUAAGAUUAGAUGAUUUUUAAAAUUAUAAAAAAGUCGGUACGGUACGGUAUACUGUAUUUGUAUAAUAUUACAUAUCGUUAUUGUACCACGUACUACGUACGGUACGGUACAACCGUACCGACAAGUCGGUAACCGAUUCCGGCGGUUUGGCUGGUUUUUCGGUUGGUAUGGUUGGAUCGGGACAAAAUGCCAGCCCUAGUUUUACGGUGCGGAUUUCCGUCCGUUCGCCACUGUACGGCGCCGCGCGAGGGUGCGCCUCCACCCCAGCGGAGUCCAGCAGCUUCCCUGACCACUUUCCAUCCCCGGAGACUCCGCCGAAUUCCANNNNNNNNNNNNNNNNNNNNNNNNNNNNNNNNNNNNNNNNNNNNNNNNNNNNNNNNNNNNNNNNNNNNNNNNNNNNNNNNNNNNNNNNNNNNNNNNNNNNNNNNNNNNNNNNNNNNNNNNNNNNNNNNNNNNNNNNNNNNNNNNNNNNNNNNNNNNNNNNNNNNNNNNNNNNNNNNNNNNNNNNNNNNNNNNNNNNNNNNNNNNNNNNNNNNNNNNNNNNNNNNNNNNNNNNNNNNNNNNNNNNNNNNNNNNNNNNNNNNNNNNNNNNNNNNNNNNNNNNNNNNNNNNNNNNNNNNNNNNNNNNNNNNNNNNNNNNNNNNNNNNNNNNNNNNNNNNNNNNNNNNNNNNNNNNNNNNNNNNNNNNNNNNNNNNNNNNNNNNNNNNNNNNNNNNNNNNNNNNNNNNNNNNNNNNNNNNNNNNNNNNNNNNNNNNNNNNNNNNNNNNNNNNNNNNNNNNNNNNNNNNNNNNNNNNNNNNNNNNNNNNNNNNNNNNNNNNNNNNNNNNNNNNNNNNNNNNNNNNNNNNNNNNNNNNNNNNNNNNNNNNNNNNNNNNNNNNNNNNNNNNNNNNNNNNNNNNNNNNNNNNNNNNNNNNNNNNNNNNNNNNNNNNNNNNNNNNNNNNNNNNNNNNNNNNNNNNNNNNNNNNNNNNNNNNNNNNNNNNNNNNNNNNNNNNNNNNNNNNNNNNNNNNNNNNNNNNNNNNNNNNNNNNNNNNNNNNNNNNNNNNNNNNNNNNNNNNNNNNNNNNNNNNNNNNNNNNNNNNNNNNNNNNNNNNNNNNNNNNNNNNNNNNNNNNNNNNNNNNNNNNNNNNNNNNNNNNNNNNNNNNNNNNNNNNNNNNNNNNNNNNNNNNNNNNNNNNAAAUUAUUCAAAAUAAAAAACAGAGAAAAAGUAAUACGUACAAAAGAGAAAAACAAAAGUUAAAAAAAAAUAUAGAUUAGUUAAUGAUAAAACAUUUUUUUGCAUGAAAAAAAAUAAUUAGAAAAUGAAGGUAGGGAUAAUGGAUGUUCAAAAAACAAAAAAGGUAAAAAAAAAAAAAAUGAGAGGUCUAUUGAGUGUUAAGAGUUAAAGUAAGUAAUUAAUUGAAAUAUAUGUCAAUAAAUAACUAAGGUUAUGUUAGGAAUUUGAAAUGAGGUCUCCUGAGAAAAUACUUAUAUUAAAAAGCAAAUGGGAGGUGUAGAGAGAAUGAGAGAUAUACUGAGUAAAUUUGGAGCUCUCAAUAGCCGCACUCAUAUCUUAUUUUCCAUUGUAUCUCCGAUAUUUAAUAUAUAUCUUCGAUAUAAUAAAUAAAAAUAAGUAAAAUUUGUAAGCAUAAAGAAAAAUCACCUCCAAAAAUAUUCGAGGGAGAAAACUAAUUCCUUUGAGAUAUAUCCCAAUAAAGAGUGAGGGUCUCGAGUGAUUUAUGGGUGAGGAGUAUUUCCCUGGAAGAAUUUGUCGAGUUGGGACCAACGUCCGUCUUUUCAACCACCUUGAGUCUCUUUCUAGAUGUUUAUGAAGUUGAUAUUUGUAUUUUUGUACUAUUUAAAAUAAAAAUUCCUAAGUUCCGAUAUUUUUUUUCGGAUAUCCCCAAUAUAUAUGAUAUUUUUUUCUUCAAAAUACCGAUAGAUACACCGAUACCGAUAUUUUAAUCUUUGUACAUGACUAGCCUUCAUGAACCAGCUAUACACGAGCAUACGCGAGCGAAAAGGCCACGCUUUCACAUGUUAUUUUUUAUUAUUUUACCUUGAUAUGGUAAUGGCUAGUACACGGUUAUUUAUUACUCGUUGUUGCAGCUUUAGAGUGUGCCAAUAUUUUUGUGGUAUAUUAAUCAUUUUUCAAGAAAAAUUAUAUAUAAUAAACCCUAGCCUUCUGGCACAUACGGGCAUGUGCAGAAGAACCGCGCUCGUCCGCGCUAUCAAGUCUCACCUUGAAUUUCACCCUGAAACCCGAAGUAAGUCUUACGGGGUCCACCUCCAUGGAAAAGUUACAAAAAAAUUCGACAGAACCUCCCUUGAAAAUAGACAACUCUAACCUGAAAAAUUCAAAUAACACUCCUGUAACAACAAACCCAACCUCAACUCUUGGAGCCACCCGCUCCCCACAAAACAACCACCACCAUAAAAAUAAUAAAACCAUCUUCAAAUCGAUCAUGUAAAUAUCCAACUAAUAACAAACUUCAACCUUCGAAUAUUCCAAAUUUAAGUUUAAGACUUAGCACACAACCGAACUAAUAUACAUUAUCCUCAAGGUAAUCAGAGCCGCUAAAACUAGAGGAAGCAAGAAAAAUGUUGGUAGGUUAACGGGUAACCUACUAAUGAAAGGUGGUGGAAAAAUAGGUGACUAUGCCUUGCCUCCUACUAGAACUAACCCGCACUCUGCAGACUGGGCAUUUUAAAACGAAUGGCCUAGGGAAAACAUUUGAAACAGUUAGAGUGAGUGGACAAAAUAAAUUUAAUAAAAAUAUUUAUGCUUUCCCAAUUUAAAUUUCUAUAGAAAAAUAUGCUGCAUGCGACAGCUCAAAAGCUCUCAACUCGUCAAUUGGCAAUUAUAUGACCAACUCCGGCUAGUCUCCAAACUUAAAAAAAUAAAGCCUUUCAGGCUAAAAUAAUAUAUAUAUAUAUGUAUGUAUUUACACUCGUCAUACUCCUUACGAAUUCUAUGAAGAAAUAAGAAAAAUAGAAAUUCAUACAAGGCUGCUACGCUUGCGUCUAACGCUCACGUCACACCAUAAUGAAAUUUUACCUCAUUAUGGCGGAAAAGCACAUAUAGCUAGCUAGCAUUUAUUUAUAUACAUACUAUCCUCAUAAUCAUCCAUAUAUGAAUAAAUAACCACCGAAAUUCUCAAUUUCGGUUAUUCUCCAACCAAAGAAAUUUAUCAUCAAUAGAACAUUUGCAUGCACAUUAUUUAAAACAAAAGUCCACUCACAAAUUAGAUGUAAGCCUGAUGUCGAUCCAAGGCCUCUUCUGCUCGAGCCUCCUCACAUCUUAUUCCAAAUAUAUAAUUAAAUUCCAAACCAAAAUCCAAUAAUUAUGCAAAAUAGGCAAAAUUAAAUGUGAGCCUUAACCACGCUCAUCCUUGCCCAACUUCGCUAUUCUUACUCAAUAUGAUCCAAGCUUCACCGAAAAAAUAACGGCAGCCUUCACACAACCUUCCACAGAUUAAACAACUUUAAUCCAACUGCCAGAUUCUAUCCUAAUUAACCGCCAAAAUACUAAACUUGAAAAACCCCCCAAACCUAUCCAAAACUCUUCAAAAAAUUCAAAACUUCACAUAAUUAAACUCCCCUUAAUAUAACCAAUUUAAAACCAUGAAAAAUCCCCCAAACAGCGGCGGCGCCGCCGGAGGCCGACUCCGACGACCUCUAAUGCUUACCAAAUUUUGACAGCAUCUUCCCUCUCAACUCCCUCUACAACUUACCUAAUUAGCACAAACACCAAUUCCAAGCCUAGAUAGGGCAAUCAAACAAAAACAUCAAUGAGCCAUAGAAUUUCAAUCAAGGAUUUCUUCUUACCAAGCACGAACCGGACCAAAACCUUUCAAGGGAUUACUACCCUAGAAGAGAGCUUCAAGAUGAGCCAUGGAUUGCUAGCUAUGGCAGCUGGAGGAGGAAGUUCCGGCGAGGGAGCCACCACGAACAGUCGGACCUUUCGGGGGAGAUAACUCCCUCACGGCGGUGCUAGGGCGGCUGACACUAGCCCAGGGAGGAAGCUGGGUUGAGGGCCGACCGAUUGGGACCGGAGUGGCGACAUGCGGUGGCCGGAAGGCGACAGAUGGUCGAAAAGGAAAUCCGGCAGGGAGAGGGCUCGGGGAGAGAGUCGGGAGGAAGAGAGAGAAGUGAGGGGAGGGUUAUGUGGACUUCCGACCGGUCCUAACCCAACAACAACAAAACCCAACUCUAAUAUUAACACCCCAAAAUAAUACCCUAAUAAAAAUUACUUUUUACCGAGCUAAAAUUUACCAUUUUUACCAUUGUCACAUUUUUCUCCUACGAAUAAUUCCUCCGAAAUAAUCGUCUCCCAAAACCCCUCUAGGGACCAAUUAAACUAUAAGUUCAUUGACGAAGACGGUAAAACUUUUAUUAAUAAUACUAAGCUAGUAAAUAAGGUAAAAAUUUAAGAGUCGGGAUGUGACACGCGCAAAUACAAACUUUGGAAUGGUGCAAAAAGUCAUUCAUAUGACAAAGUUAGCGUACACGUGUAUCGAUGCUCACGUCUGUGAAUUUUAAUUUUGAAAUGGUGCAAAUUAUUUUCAAAAAACGUAUUUCAUAUGUUAAAGUUAGCGUGUAUGUACGUCUUUCAUAUUUUUAAAUCAUUUCUAUAAAUUCUUAUAACAGUUGUCACUUCCCGACUCUUAAAUUUUUACCUUAUUUACUAGUUUGGUNNNNNNNNNNNNNNNNNNNNNNNNNNNNNNNNNNNNNNNNNNNNNNNNNNNNNNNNNNNNNNNNNNNNNNNNNNNNNNNNNNNNNNNNNNNNNNNNNNNNNNNNNNNNNNNNNNNNNNNNNNNNNNNUACGUCUACUCUCUCUCUCUCUCUCUCUCUCUCUCUCUCUCUCUCUCUCUCUCUCUCUCUCUCUCUCUCUCUCUCUCUCUCUCUCUCUCUCUCUCUCUCUCUCUCUCUCUCUUUCUCGCCCUCUUUCGCUGCCAGAAAUUCCUCACGCUUGCCUGUUGUCGUCCGGCCGUCCUAGACCGCCGCUUCGGUCCCGGUCGAACCCUUGUCUCCUCCUCUCUCUCCCUAGGCCGGUGAGCAAGCCCGCAGCGUCGUCGAACUGGAGGAAACUCCUCCGAGGAGCCGACUGUUCUCUCGCCGGAGCUCCCUCCUCCGGCCACCAUAGCCAGAGCCACUUGGCUUGUUUGAAAGCACUUCUCCCGUGUAGGAAUCCCUCCAAAGGAUUCACUCCCCCUUGGUCGUAAGGAGAUUUUGAUGUUGGAAAUUCUAGGGCUCAAUUUUAUGUUUUGGUUCAUUGCCCUAGUUAGGCUUGGAAUUAGGCUUUGUGCUAGUUAGGAAAGUGGUAGAGCGGGUUAAGAGGAAGAUGUGGUUAAAAUUUGGUAGGCAUUGAAGGUCGUCGGAAUCGGCUGCCGGCCGCCGCUGUUAGGGAGAUUUUCAUGGUUUUAAAUGUGUUAUAUUAAGGGGAGACUAAUGAUGUGAAGUUUAGAAUUUUUGGAGGAGUUUUGGUUAGGUUUGAGAUUUUUCAAAAUUUGGUAAUUUGGCUGUUAAUGGGGUAGAAUCCAACCGUUGGAUUUCCCUUAUUUUUGUUUUAGAAUGUUGAAAUAAAUAAAAUGAGGCUGCGGGUGGAGUUUGGUAUGAAUCCGAUAAGCUUAACCCUAGAAAGGGUAGUGGGUUAGGAGGAAGAGUUUUGGGUCUUAUAUUUAAGUUUUCUUUUUCUGAAAUUGAAGUUUGGUCCUAAACAUGGUUAUUGUGCCAGGAUUCGAGGAGACCUCAUUGGAGUGGCGAUUUGGAUUUCGUCGGGCUUAUGCCUAAAGUUGUGAGUGGACUUUUGUUUUAAAUAAUGUGCAUGCGAAUGGUUUAUUGAUGAAUAAUUUCUUUUGUUGGAGAAUAACCGAAAUUAAGAAUUUCGGUGAUUAUAUAUUCAUUUACGGAUGAUUAUGAGGAUAGUAUAUAUAAUAAAUGCUAGCUAGCCGUACGUGCUUGUUCUGUCAUUAUAAGGUAAAUUCCACUAUGACGUGACGUGAGCGUUAGACGGAAGCGUCUUAGCCCUAUAUGAAAACUACUUACUUAUAUUUUCAUAUAGGUUUUCAUAUAGGAGAUCUGCACGUAUAUACAUCCGUCUAGUUCCGUCAUAAUGAGGAAAAAUUCCAUUAUGGCGCGACGUGAGCGUCAGACGUAAGCGUCGUAGCCUUGUAUGAAUUUCUAUCUUUCUUAUUUAUUUCAUAGAAUUCGUACAAGGAAUCUGAUGAAUGUAAAUACAUAUAUAUAAUUAUAUAUAGUUUAGCCUGAGAGGCUCUAUUUUUUCUUAAGUUUUGAAGACUAGCCGGAGCUAGUCAUGUACUUGCUAGUUUAUGAGUUGAGAGCUUUUGAGCUUAUCGCAUGCAGCGUAACUUUUCCACAGAAAUUAAAUUGGGAAAGCAUAAAGAUUUUUAUUGCUCGUUUCUUUUAAAUUUACUUUUGUCCACUCACUCUAACUCGUUUUCAAAUGUUUUCCCCUGGGCAUUUCGUUUAAAAAAAUGCCCAGUUUGCAGAAUUGCAUAGUUGAGGUCGGACAUACAUGGAGAAGAGGCAUAGUCAAUAGUAUAGCUUCCGCGUAUAUAUAUAUUUUUAGUUCAUUUCUCCUCUAAUAGAGUUGCUCUGAACCUGUGAUUGUUGGUUGUUAGUUUUUCUUAUUAAAGUUAGUAAAUAAAUUGGGAGAUGUUGUGAUUUUGGGAGCACGAAGGCUCCAGGAGUUUAAGGUUGGAUUUGGAUUUUCAGAAGUGUAUGCAUGUAUUAUUAGGAAGGGUUGUCCAUUUUCAAGGGAGGCUAUGCCGAAUUUUUGGUAAACUUUUCUUGGAGGUGGUCCCUGCAGGAUUUAUUUCGGGUUUCAAGAUAAAAUUCGGGAUGGGUCCUGACAACAGCACAUUUGUAUAACUUGAAGCGAUCGAUUAAUAACUCAAUAUGUCUUGUAAUACAUUGGAGACAGCCAACACAAAUGAAAUAGUCAUCACACGGGUCUUGGUGUGGUUCUCUGAGCAGAACAAGCCGAUUGAGGUCGAGGACCAGAAACUCUCCAUCAAUAGUCUUGGAAUCCCACCCUCCAUUAACAUCUUUCAGACUGUUGAGAUCAGCUUACUUGUGAUACACAUCUCCUCUCAAUUCUUCUGUCAUUGACAUGUGUGCAUGUAUAAAUGUGUAGAUCCAGAUUUAUAGGCAGAAUGUAAGGAACUGCUGGUAGAUAGGAUGUUGUGGUUCUUAGCUUGUUUCCCUCUCUUCCAUAUGUACCUACCUCUGUAAGUUCAACACAGUUAGUAAAAAAAACACAUUCAUCUUCUCUAUUGAAAUCUUCUUCAUGGUAUCAGAGCAGUGAUCCUCAUAGGACCUGCAUAUGUUUUUCUUUCAUUUCUCAUUCUUCAUAUCCAUAACCAACAUGGAAACCUAAACCAAAACAACAAAGGAGACUACUGCUACUGAUCCUAUGGCAACAAAAUCAGAAUUCAUGGAGGGAAAUCCAAAUCAAAGUCUUUCUUCUGUUCUUCUCAAUGAAUAUAAUUAUCUACCAUGGUCUAGAGCUGUUACACUAGCUCUAGGAGGGAAAUCAAAACUCAGCUUCAUCAGAGACAAGAAAAUUCUAGAUUUUGAAGAUCCUGAGUAUGAAAGUUGGUUGUGCAAGGACCAACUGGUCAUGUCAUGGCUCCUCAACUCCAUGGAGCCAAAAAUAUCAGAAAUUUUCAGCUACUCAGAAUCCUCAUGUCACCUAUGGGAAGCUGUCAAGGAUAUGUAUGGAAACUUAAACAAUGCAGCAAGAGUUUUUCAGCUCAAAAAGGAUAUUGCAGCUCUUCAACAAGGUAAUCUCUCUUUUGUUCAACACCUUGGAAAUUUAAAAUCCAAAUGGAAUGAACUCGACAUGUAUAGACCUCUUACUGUCGAUCCAAUCAUUUUGCUAAAAAGAGCUGAUGAAGACAAAGUCUUUCAACUUCUUGCAAGCUUGGGAUCAGAGUAUGAGGAUCUCAAAAGCCAUUUGCUAAUGAGUCUUGAUCUGCCCUCUUUUGCCACUGUGUGCAACACCAUACAAAGAGAAGAGGUGCGCAAAAAGGUGAUGAAUGUGGAGAUCAGUGCUGGAGGUUCAGAUGCAAGAGCCUUUGCUGCAAACAAAGAAGUAGCAAACAGUCAAGUGUACAAAGGGAGAAGACCAGACCUGAAGUGUACUCACUGUAAGAGCAUUGGAAGAAGUGGUAUAGGCCACAUAAGAGAAACAUGCUGGUUCCUAUUUCCAGAAUUGAAGCCAAAGUAUAAUGAAGGUCAGAGAUUACACAGAAACAAUGGACAAAGAGGUCCAUUCACUGCCAAUCCUAAGGCAAAUCUGAGCAGUAACAUGUCUGAAGAGUUAGUGAAUUUUACAGCCAAUCCAAUCUCUCUCAUCAACGAGUUUGCAAACUUCCUCCAAAACAAGCAAGGAAGCAUAGACAGCAGGGACAGUGGAAAUACAACUGCCUUGCUUGGAAAAUUUGAAGGUUUUUUGGAAGAAUCAGACAGUGCAUCAGCAAAUGAUAUUCCAGGUAUCAUAUGUGCCCUCUCAACUGCUCUAGAAGUUAGCAAAAAUGGUGACUUUUGGAUUGUGGAUUCAGGAGCCUCAGAACAUAUAACAAAUGACUCAUCCAAUCUUUCUGAUUUUGAAAAACUUACAAAUCCUUCUCAUGUUUCAAUAGCUAAUGGCAAUAGUGUUCCCAUUUUUGGAAAAGGAAAAAUAAACCUUUUUUCAGAUUGCAUAGAGUCAGUUGCAUUGUUUGUUCCAUCUUUCCCCUUUAAACUUCUAUCUGUUGGGAAAUUGAUUCGUUUACUGGGUUGCCUAGCUAUCUUUUCUUCUCAUAACAUUGUUUUUCAGGAUCGAGUCACAGACAAGAAGAUUGGUGAGAGAUUCUACUUAAAUGGUCUUUACUACAUCUCCACCUCUCCAAGUUUUUCAAAGUGUCUUCUAAUCGACUCCAACUCUACAACUCAACAGCAAUUAUGGCACAAACGCCUUGCUCAUCCUUCAUCUCUUGUCUUGUCAAAGUUAUUCCCUAAUUUUUGUAAAAUUACACAUGAGUGUGAAAUUUGUCAUAUGUCUAAGCGGACUAGAAUUCCUUUUCCACUUUCACACUCAAGAACAACCAAGCCAUUUGAACUUGUUCACUCUGAUGUAUGGGGGCCUGCCUCUAUUGAAUCUUUUGAUGGUUAUCGAUUUUAUGUCACUUUUAUUGAUGAUUUCACUCGAUCUACAUUUGUUUACUUGUUAAAAUUCAAGAAUGAAGUUUUCCAUUGUUUUCAAGAUUUUCAUAACUUGGUCAUAAAUCAUUUUUCUGCAAAACUUCGCACUCUAAGGUCAGACAAUGGCACUGAAUACACAUCCAACACCAUGGCUAAAUACCUUAGUGAGUAUGGAAUUAUUCAUCAAACCAGCUGUGUAGGAACACCACAGCAAAAUGGUGUUGCAGAACGUAAAAAUAUAGACCUGCUGGAAAAGGCAAGAGCACUCAUGCUUCAAGCUCAUGUUCCAAAACGAUUUUGGUCUCAAGGCAUCCAAACUGCUGCAUAUCUAAUCAAUAGAUUGCCUAGCAGUGUCUUAAAAUUCAAGUUACCAUUUGAAAUUCUCAAGGGAAGGAAGAUUGAUAUCUCUCAUCUUCGUAUUUUUGGAUGCACCUGUUUUGUACAUGUUCAAGCCUCACGCAGAGAUAAGUUUGAUCCGAGAGCUGUCAAAUGCAUGUUUCUUGGAUAUUCAUCUACAAAAAAGGGUUAUAAGUGCUACAGUUCAGCAACAAGAAAAAUCAUUGUGUCGAGAGAUGUUUGUUUUCAUGAAAAUGAGCCAUUUUAUCCAUCUUCAGACAAUAAGCUUCAGGGGGAGUCUUGGACUGAGCUGUUCCCCACUCCUGUUCUUACUGAAAUUGAUUCACUUGUGCAUCCACAAUCGAUUGAUACUGAAAAUGAACAUGAUAAUAGCAAUGAGCAUGAAGAGAACCAUGUACAUGAAGAAGAGGUUGUCCAUCAACCUCCUUCUCCUCCAAGAAGAAACCCUCCAAGACAUCGAAAACCACCAUCAAGGCUUCAAGAGUAUGUGACCUACUCAACUCGUUAUCCACUCGAGCUUGGACUUGAUGCUGUCCAACCAACACACAGCGCUUUCUUAGGCAAGAUUCUCACCGAACAUGAACCAAGAAGCUUUGCAGAAGCCAAUCAAUCUCCACAGUGGCAGAAGGCAAUGCAUGAUGAGUUGAAGGCCCUCGAUAAAAACCACACAUGGAGUAUUGUUCCUCUCCUAAAAGGACAGAAACUUGUUGGAGCUCGUUGGAUUUACAAGCUAAAGUAUCAUUCUGAUGGCACCCUUGAGCGACAUAAAGCAAGGUUAGUAGCUCGUGGUUUUACACAAACUUUUAGUGUAGACUACAAGGAGACUUUUGCUCCAGUAGCUAAAAUGAACACUGUUAGGGUUUUGCUAUCUGUUGCUAUGAAUUAUGGUUGGUCAUUGUAUCAGAUGGAUGUGAAAAAUGCAUUCUUGCAUGGUGAUUUAGAAGAAGAUGUUUACAUGAAGCUACCACCAGGGCAUCCUAGAGAGAAUGAGGUUGGAAUGGUGUGUAAGUUGCACAAGGCCUUGUAUGGAUUGAAGCAGUCACCUCGUGCUUGGUAUUCCAAGUUGAGUUCAGUGCUCACUGCUUCAGGCUUUAAAAGAAGUCACUUUGAUUCCUCAUUGUUUGUUCGAAAUGGCAAAGUGGGAAAACUAGUGGUUUUGGUGUAUGUCGAUGAUCUCAUCAUCUCUGGAGAUAACAUGGAUGAAAUCCAGUCCCUCAAAUCCUCAUUGUUUGUUCGAAAUGGCAAAGUGGGAAAACUAGUGGUUUUGGUGUAUGUCGAUGAUCUCAUCAUCUCUGGAGAUAACAUGGAUGAAAUCCAGUCCCUCAAAGCUGCUCUCCACAAAGCCUUUGCUAUCAAGGAUUUAGGCCCAUUGAAGUAUUUUUUGGGGAUAGAGAUGGAUAUUUCUGCUCAUAGUCUCUUUCUUAAUCAGCGCAAGUAUGUUGUUGAUCUUCUAGAUGAAGCAGGAAUGACAGACUGCAAACCUGCUUGUACUCCAUUGCACAGCAAACUCAACUUGGACACUCCAGGCACCACCUUGACAGAUACCAAUAAUUAUCAGCGUCUUGUAGGCAAGCUCAUUUACCUUACCAUCACAAGACCUGAUCUUGCCUAUGCAGUGAGCAUAGUGAGUCAAUUCAUGCACUCACCUUCUACUUAUCAUCUCAGUAUUGUCAAGAGGAUCCUGCGUUAUCUAAAAGGUACCAUUAGUCGAGGUAUUACUAUGAAUCGAAAUGAUCAUUUCAAAAUAGAGGGUUAUUCAGAUUCAGAUUGGGCAGGGAAUGCAUUGGAUCGAAAAUCUACCACAGGCUAUUGCACAUUCAUCGGAGGAAAUCUUGUUACUUGGAAAAGUAAAAAACAAUCAGUGGUGGCUAGAAGCAGUGCUGAGGCUGAGUACCGGGCAAUGGCAUCCAUUGCUUGUGAACUCAUAUGGUUGAAGGCUUUGCUAAGGGAUUUAGGGAUUGAACAUGCAACUCCAAUCCUUCUUCAUUGUGACAAUCAGGCUGCAAUGCAUAUUGCAGCAAACCCAGUUUUUCAUGAGCGCACAAAGCACAUUGAGGUUGAUUGUCACUUCAUUCGUAACCAAGUCCAAUCAAAGCUCAUCGAAACAGUAUACACAAGAUCUUGUGAUCAACUUGCAGACGUGUUUACCAAGGUUCUUGCUUCCGCACAAUUUGAGAGUCUGCUUUCCAAGCUUGGCUCAAGAAACUCCCUUGAUCCAGCUUGAGGGGGAGUGUUGAGAUCAGCUUACUUGUGAUACACAUCUCCUCUCAAUCCUUCUGUCAUUGACAUGUGUGCAUGUAUAAAUGUGUAGAUCCAGAUUUAUAGGCAGAAUGUAAGGAACUGCUGGUAGAUAGGAUGUUGUGGUUCUUAGCUUGUUUCCCUCUCUUCCAUAUGUACCUACCUCUGUAAGUUCAACACAGUUAGUAAAAAAAACACAUUCAUCUUCUCUAUUGAAAUCUUCUUCACAGACUCUACAAGUUCAUCAAAUCAAACAAAUUUUGGCAAGAUGAUACAAGCCUCCACAAUAUCGCAUUGGUUGUUGGAACAAAGGAGUUAUGGUGGUUAUGACUCUGAACUUCUCAUUUCCAAUGUCGAAUGUGAGAACACAGUUGAUGAGGAGCCAAUAGAAUGUCCCAUUGUGAUGCACAGGCUUUACAGACUUAAAUUGCAUCAUUACCAAGAUUCACCCCAGCAACCUCAAACUUAUAAAUUCCUCCAGUUCAGGUCUCGCCAAUGGUCCCACUAUUAUGAUCCCAUAAUUCUGAUCCCAUGGUCAAAAUCUUGAAGUGAACCUAUGCAUUUACAACAUUCUGUUCUUCGCCUAAAAUAACUCCCUCAAUCUCUAGGAGCUUGUAUUCAUGAGUCACUAUGUUGUAUAAAAAAAAAAAAAUACAAGAACUGUUGAGUGAAUCCCAAUGUCAUAGGUAGCACUGCUGAAGGAAUAGCCAUUGAUUGGCGAGUGGCUGAACAAAAUACUGACAGAUCUUAAUCAACUAAGUGCUUGUGGUAAAACCUACAGAACAACACUAAGAGCAAGUCCAAGAGCUUCUUUAUAUUUUCUACAUAAUAGGGAAUCAAAACUUAAAAUCUCUAAAAAUUUUGUAUACCAAAUCUAACAGUUUCCCUAUUUUAAAGAUUCAAAUAUUUAUUACAACAACAAUCCUCAUUUAUUACAAUAUAAUAAUAAGUAUAAAAAUAUAUAAGUUUAUUUUUUUAGAAUAAAUUAUGUUUUAUUUCUUAUCUUUAAGCCUUGAAGAAUGUGCAACAUUCAAUUCUUCUUUCCCUAAAUAUUUUUAGAGAAUCUGUAAAUAUAGGGAAGCAAACAUUCACUUUCGUCUCUUUCCCUAUUUUAGAGAAUGAGAUAAGGAAGCUGUUGGAGAAGAAAAUGACCCCAUAUUCCCCAAAAUAGAGAAAAUUAAACAGUUUAGGGAAUCUAUUGGACUUGCUCUAACCCUUCCACUCCUUGAGCCUAAUAAUUGACACUUGUAAGGUUGUAAGGUUCGGCAAAUCAAAACGUCUGAGAUAAGUUACACAAAUCCAAAAACCAAUCAACACUUUUAAGUAUCAAUGAUCAUUAGUUAAUGAGAAAAUCUAUUAGAUUAGAAAAGCCAAUCGUACAAACACUAAAUCACACCGUGAUUGAAUAAUCAAAACCCAAAGGAUCAGUUUAUGUAUUAGUUUAUAUAAAACCACUUUUAAGUAUUAGUUUAUAUACAACGUCUUCAUUACUCAUCAUUUCUCUGUGUCAAGUUCACACUAGCGCAGAGCAUCGUGCCAAAUCCAAAACAAUCGAACCCAAAUACUCAUAAGAAAAGCGGAGAAAUAUGAUAAUCAAAAAGUGAAAAUACUAACAUGAAUCAAAUGGCUUAUUCAGAUGAGCUUGUAUUGAUUAAAUUGAGCAAGCAUGAGAACAAGCUAGCAGGUCGAGAAAGACUGGUUUUGGUGAAUCUGAAAAUUGAUUAUCAGGAAUGAGGAGACCCUAAUAUGAAAACUGAGUGGGUGAAACAAGGAGUCGUCCUCUAUUUGUUAUUCCUAGAUAUAUCCUAAUUUAGCUAUAACUCUGGCGGAAUAAUUGAAAUUCAACUUAAAAUUGGAGCCUUUUUCUCAGCUUGUUAGCGUGGAGAAAAAAAUAAUGACGUGUUACUUGCUUAUUGGCUGGUCGCAUAAACCAACUGGUGCGGCUGUUACAUAGAAGAUUAAACUAUUCUAAGAAGCUUCCACUAAUCACAACCGCCCACGUGUACAGGUCCACACCAACGUGCCGGCACCGGCCUCCCUUCCGUAGCUUCCACCAGAAAAGACAACCGCACCGAAUCACUCACACCCUCCCUUUUCUGUUACACCCAAAAACAAAACAAAAAAAUUAAAAAAGAAAAACCUCUCUCUCAUUCUCUCUGUCCCUAAUCAUCGCCUCGUGCUUAGCUAACCUUUCUGUGCCCUAAUUCUUUAUUCCAAUCGAGGUUUCCAGAACCCUGUACCCAAAUUCUCACUUCUCUCUUCUCGAAAUUCUCGCCGGAAUCGUUCUCGGGGGAAGCGCUAAGCGUUUGGGGAAGGCGGCCGAGAUGAGCUUUCAGGAUUACCGGGAUCUGGAAGCGGGCCGCGGGUCGGCUCAGUCCAGGCGCGACCCGACCCAAGCCGUCGCCUCCGGCAUUUUCCAGAUCACCACCGCCGUCUCCACGUUUCAGAGGCUCGUCAACACCAUCGGGACCCCCAAAGACACGCCCGAGCUCCGCGAGAAGCUGUGAGUUUGUUCAUUUCUCUUUUGAUUAUCGAUUUUGAUUGAAUUCUUUUGAGAAUUUCGGUUGAAUUGUUUAGGUUAAGUGGAGUAAUGAGAAUUGUGAAUCUAAGGAGUUGAUUAGUGUGUGAUCGGAUUAGAUUAGGAGGUGUUUGGCUAGCAAUAAUGUACUUUAGGAUCGUCAUUGUAAUUUUGAAAUUGAAGCAACUGUGAGGGAAAUAGAGCUUAAUUGUUCCGAAAAGAGCUUCGUUCAAGGAUAUCAAAGGCCAAUUAGUUCUUGCAUUUUGCUGACAGUGUUGUGGUUAGUCAGGUAUCUUUGUACGAUAGAGAAUAGAGCUAUGCUACCCUGAUAUGCAAUUGUGUGAUGAGUAAUGGCCACAUUAGUGUCUGGUGCCAGUUGGAAAUGUUUACUUGCAUGAUAAGUUCCAUCAUCUGGUACUUGUGUUUAUGACUUUUACUGAUUUUCAGGCACAAGACGAGACUACAUAUUGGCCAAUUAGUAAAGGAUACUUCAGAGAAACUUAAACUAGCGAGUGAACGAGAUCACCAUACUGAAGUUAAUGCAAGUCUCUCUCUCUCGCUCUAUAUAUACUGUAUAUGUGUAUAUGUAUUACAUAUAGUUCUUUCUCUCCAUAUAUUAAACGCAUGUCUUUUCGAAAAGAGAUCAUCAUCCAUAACUUGACUCACAUGUCGUUUUCUUUUUAUGCAAUAAAAUAUGGUGAAGUUUUUGGCUUUUCAUAGACCUAAACUAGCAUUUUCAACAAGCCACCUACUGUUUGAUUUACUUAUGUGUAUGGUUUAGACUCAAUGUCAGAAGUUUUAGAACUGGUGUACUAACUGUCAUUGACCUCAUAUAAGAGUUUGGAUACCCUUCAAUGUCUCAGUUAAUUCUUUACUAUCCCUCCAUUGUACUCAUUUUUUUUCAGAUUGAUCAUUUUGAAAACUUUCUGUUCAAACAAGUUAUUGAAAUGCUUAUUCCCAAUGAAACCUGGUGCUUGUGAGGUUGCAUAGAGUAUGGUUAUGAAAUCAACACUAACUUAACCUCUCCCUUUUCCAAAAAUAAUGUGAUUUUUCCUGCUUAGGAACUUUCCCAAAGAAGCCCUCAAAAUUGAAUUGUUCAUUUGGUUGAAAUGGUGGAUAGUUCCUUUCCACGCUGUCUUUGCCUUAGAAGAACCCAAAUAUUUAUUUGGUCUUUUAUACCUAGCUAUAUAUUUUUUCUUCUCUGCUGUUUAGUGUGUUUUCCGAUCUCGAAUGUCUUCAAUUCAAUUGCAGGGAAGACAGAAGGUUGCAGAUGCUAAACUUGCCAAAGAUUUUCAAGCGGUACUGAGGGACUUUCAGAAAGCUCAACGACUGUCAGCUGAGAGGGAAACAGCAUAUGCUCCUUUUGUUCCCCAGGCUGUUCUUCCAUCAAGGUAGUUUUUGUAAAUUGACAGUGACUUGAGGAUGAUGAGUUUAAUUAUGUGAUAUAUGCUAGAAGAUCUUUACUUGUUGCAAUUAAUCUUGUGAUUUCAGUCCCUCAGUCUUAAGUUAAUAGUUAAUUAUUUCAUUUUAUGCAGCUACACUGCUAGUGAGAUAGAUACCUCAGAUAAGAGUCCAGAACAGCGUGCUCUCCUUGUAGAAUCGAGAAGGUGAUAUUUCCAUUCUGCAAUGCGCGUGUGUGUUUUUUUUUUUUUCCUUCAGUUUGCUAGAGCUAGCUGUACUCACUCUAGCAUUAUUUUGAAAGAUCGAUGCAUGUUUCUUCUGGCGAAUCAUGUAUCUUUCUACUCAGAGAAAGGUAAUAGCUAUGAAUUUAUUACUUGUUUAAAUGUUAUCGAAGUACUGGAUCCAAGGUUCUAAAAAACGCUGGGUGCUAGUCGGGCGGACAGCGCCCAAAAGAUUAAUCGGGGAUUAAUCGGAUUUGUAUUUUUGUAUUUAUUUUAUUUUUAAUAACAAAUAAUUAUAUAAAUACAAUUAUAAUAUGGUUUUCUCUCUUCACACAUGCACCUGUCCCGUGCACCACGUCACCACUUGCGCCCAAAAGAUUAAAAGAGACCACACAGUUUCUUUUCUUUCAUCUUGUAACCCAGAAUUCAUCUCACAAUCUUCAAGUUCUUGUUUUUGUUCCAAUUUCAUUGUAAUCCCUUUUCUCUCUCUUUGAAUGUUCCCUAUCCUGUUCAUUCUUUUCUCUGCAAAACUCUAUGCAAAAACCCAGAAACUGAGAUACUUGAAGAUUGUCAGAUAACUCAGAUUGAAGACUUGCUAGAUGUUGGGAGAUAGAGAUUGUGCAGAGAAACUCGAGUUCCACCCAGAUCUGCAACUGGAGAGAGAGGGAGACAGAGGAAGAGAGGUGCAGCAUAUCCAGUUUAGCGUUUUAGGUUAGUCGGGACUAAUCGGCUGGCCGCCCAGACCGCCUAGGCCGCCUGAGCGGCCGACUUUCUCUCAGCCGCCUAGCCUGGACGAUUACACUGAAAUCAGAACGGCUUGACGAUGCCUAGCGCCUAGGCGGCCGACUUAUCUGAUUUUUAGAACCUUGACUGGAUCCUCAUUUUUCUUGUUAUUUGGGUCAUAACCGGAAAAACUUCGGAAAUAACUUGAAAUCAAAUGUUGAAGGGAACUAGAAAAAGAUUGCUUUUCAAGAAGCUUCAGUUUGGAGAUAGAGCGCUCUGGAUGACCAUUAUAGGUUAGGUAGUUUCCUUUUUGAGGAGAGAGUUGUAAUAUUGAACUAGCUGCUGUAGUGGAGGUUGAUUGUAUUUAUUGAUACUCGUUAGAAAGUUAGUGGUAUAGCAAAGGGGUUUCAGAGAGAGAUUAGAAAGAUUUCUUGGUCAGAGUUGUAGGAUACUAUUACUUGGAGAAGUGAGGUAUAAAGUAUGUGGUUGGACUAGAUAAUUAACUUUAGUUUGGGUUUGAUGAUGGUGAGAUGAUAAACUCUGUGCCCCUAUUCCGGCCCUCUUUACACUCAUGGCCAGAGUGCUUGUCUUGGUAUUUGUUCUGGCAAGAAGAUGAUGCGGUCCUGGAAUCUUGUUAGUUUAUAAAAUGUUCUUGGCGGGGAUACUCUCACUUAAAAAGUGAGGUAUAAGGUUGGACUGGUGGAUUUACCAGUAGUUUUGAUUGAUGAUUGGUGUGAUGAUAAACUAUAUGCUCCUAUUUCUGCCCUCUUUACAUUUACAAUGGCUAGAGUGUUUGCCUUUAUAAUUAUUUGUCCUGGCAAGCAGAGUACACCAUUCUGGAAUCUUGGUACAAAAUUCAUGAUUUGGAGGUGGUGUUUAUUUGUUUACUUACUUUUACUUUUGGAUGGUGUAUAGUCCCUGAUGAGGUUUUACACAUCUGUAGUUGUUAGGGAGAGAAGGUGUAUUUCUCGGCUUCUUUAGCAUGAAUGGCUCUUGUAGCUGCAAAAAUGUGGUCCAUCCAUUAUUUGAUUAACCAAUUUAGUCUUUGAAGACUCUAUUUCUUUUCAAGAGAACACUGUGUCUCCUAUUACUUAUGGAGUCUAACUCUACAAGUUAUAGUAUACUAUCCCUGAGUCUUUGGAUGUUUUGUUUUUCGUUUUUAUUUGUGUGAUGCUUGAAGUUUUAACUUUUCAAAUUAAGCUUUAGGGUACAUAGUGCCAAGUAUAUUUCUUUAUUGGUGUGUGCCUAGAACUAUUACCAACAUGUAUGAUUUGUGCAUCUGCUUACUUAUAUAUGGUUUGCAUUACAGACAGGAGGUCUUGCUGUUAGACAAUGAAAUUGCCUUUAAUGAGGCUAUCAUUGAGGAACGGGAACAAGGAAUACAAGAGAUCCAGCAGCAAAUUGGAGAAGUGAAUGAGAUUUUUAAAGAUCUGGCUAUCCUGGUUCAUGAACAAGGAACCAUGAUCGGUUAGUUAUCUUGUUGUGUCUUGAACGCACUAUUAUUUAUCUGGCUAUUGUUUUCUUACCUUGAUCGUAUCUGCUUGUAGAGGAUAUUGACUCUAAUGUUGAGAGUGCUCACGCUGCAACUUCCCAGGCAAAGUCACACCUUGUGAAGGCCGCAAAGACCCAGAGAUCAAACUCGUCUCUGGUAAUUUACUACAUUUCACAAUCAUUUCUAUGAAGUUUGAUAUGUUGUCAUUUUCUAUUCUUUUUUUAAGAUUUUUGUUAAGGCUUUAUCUCUGUCAUCUUUUGGUUUCUGCAGGCGUGCUUGCUGUUGGUAAUAUUUGGAAUUGUGCUUCUCAUUGUGAUAAUAGUACUUGCAGCUUAAUCAGACGGUUAUCUGCAUUUGGUCAGAGACAACUCGUGAUCUGCCCAUCCCUUUUGCUAGUGUAUAUGAUGGGUUAUUUUCUGGGGUCAUCAUGCCCGACUUGAGUAUGUCAUUCCUUGGUCCAGUUUAGUAUAUAACUUUCUGUUACAUUACAUCUGGUUGUUUUGGGUGAGUGGUGGGAGGUUGUUUUUUCUGCAAGUUGAAGCUUGGGCUUCUGAUGGGUAUUCUAUCUGUUAUGUAAUGGUCAAAAGUAUAUGUUAAUAAAAUUCAUGAUUCUUUGGUUUUCUUGUUAUCUUAUGUAUAUGGUUUUAGCAUUAUCCUUUUUCCAUUCGUAUAGUUGCAUCAGUAUUGUUUUUUAGAAUGAGAUAUAGUGCCCCUUACUUUGAGAGGAGUUAUGGUGUCCCCAUAUCACCAAGUCACUUCUGCAACUUCAGUAGGUGUGAUUUGUGUCAAAUAGAUGAUUGUGAACUUCUUUGGACCUUAUAUGGUGUUUGAUGGUAAGUGUUUGAGAGAUGCAAUUUCUAGUCUGCACUUCGGCAUGUCAUAUGUGAAUUUGAUUUUACUGCAAGACCCGGUCCGUUUGAUUAACAGAGGCUUUACACAUGACUGGCAUCUUGAAACAUGAGUGACAGCAUAACCGGAAAUGCACUGAAUCUAUUUACUAUGCAUAGCUGAGAGAGUGAAACUAAACCUUCAAAAUCAUGCACCACUUGUUAUCAUCUUCUCAUGAGGCGCACAUACAAGUAACCAAAGAUUAGCGAGGAGAUCCCUUUUCUUGAAAUGGUUAUUGGUGUUUUCACGGCUUCUCUUUUACAGGGAAUAAAGGGCUUCAUGCUACUUUUAGCCUAUAUUAGGUCUUAGUAGUUAGUAGGGGCCGUAGUUAGUCUUAUUAGGACAAUUGAUGCAUCUUACAUGGAGAUAUCUAUGGUUCGUUUUAGGUGAUCAUAGCAAGCUGUGACUAAUUCGGAGAAGAGGAUUCUGGCCAUGUCUGGCUGAACUUCAUAGUGAGUGAGUUCUGUACCCCAUGUUGAUGAGGCAGAGACAUCUCCGAGCUCAAAAGGUUCUGGGAUGAGACUCACCUCAUCACCCCUGCUUCUCUUGCUAAAACACUCAACUUCUAUACCUGCAGUUCGCUUUACUCCGGAGAGGUCGAGACUGCCUCAGCCAUAAUCAGUUCACUACUAGACGAGGCCUGGUCCAUCUUCUUCCCCAAACCAGAGCUCGGAACCGGUUCAGUUGAACCGGCCGAGAUCCCAGGUCAGGAACUGCGUGGACUGGAAAAGGGUUGACCACUGGAGCCCUAACUUAGGAAGGAGAAGGACUAGCCAAAGCUACUGUCCCUGUCCAGUUAUAUAAAACACUGCAAACAGAUAAACACAAUUUGAAAAACUACAUCUCCUUAACAACUAAAAAAAGCUUCUGUAACAGACUUAACCCUAUAUAUCUUCUUCGAAGCAUCACAACUCAUCAGUGGAUUCGCUGUAUCCACUGGAAACUGAGGGUUUUUUUUACUUUUCUUGUUAUAAUAGUGUUGUUGUAUUGUUCAUUCAAAGACUGAACAAAAAAAGAAAUUAGGUCAGUCAAAUUGGUUUGUGUUUGUUGUAAAGUUUGUUGUAACACCAGUAUAUCCCGGUGGUCUAAGACGGGCAGUUUAGAGUCGUCCAUUCUAACACGAAUACAUGAUAUUAUCAUGUGUAAAUCCUCAAUGACUGCCUUCAAGCGCAACUUCAAUUCAUAAAAGUUUAAUUUCAAUUGUUAAACCUUCAUUCUUCUAGAAUUGCACUUAAAGGAGGACACGUGAGGCGCACGGGCUUUUGUAAUAUUGGUUCUGAAGACUCCCACAUCGUAGAAGAGCAAAAGCAGAAGGUGUUCAUAUAGGAAGACAUGACAACCGAGUUCGUCCCUUCGGGGACAUCCGAUAAAAUUGGAACGAUACAGAGAAGAUUAGCAUGGCCCCUGCGCAAGGAUGACACGCAUAAAUCGAGAAAUGGUCCAAAUUCUUUUUGCCAUUUUUCCCUCCCUCCUUUUUCGAUUCAGGUAGUGUUUUCAGUUCUGGGGCUUUCUGGGUUCAGACUGGUAUCCCGCUGCCUUUUGUAAAAUUAGUUCCUUUCUGUUGUUGCUCACCACCUGUUUGAUGAAAUACUUGUGAGAACCUCUUCCCUUUCUUAUGCUUACUUGACUGAAUAUUGCUUUCAAUUUUGUGUAAUUCUUGGGUUUCAAAUACUGAAUUUAGAGAUAACUGUUUUUUUUUUUGUUUUCUCUAUAAUGCAUUUGACUGAUUUACUUGAACAUAACUGUUAGUUGGGUAUAAAACUUGUUGAAUUCUUACUGUAAGUACUUGCAGAGGCAAUCAGCCUAGAAAGUAAAUCCCUUUCUGCAGAUAUUAUAUGUUCAUGAAGGGAAGUAUUCCCAAUUGUUAAAUUUUUGAUGCUUUUGGAUGUCAUUAUAUUCCGUAGACAUAAUUCGAUACAAUAUAGGCCAUUAGACAUUAUUUGUUGUGGAAGUAUGCUGCAAGUUAGUAACUAAUGGUAUUGGUGUGGCAUCAAAUAGACGAGUAAGUUGAUGAGAUUCGGAAAUAAUAUUUGUUCCCCGAGUGUUCUUGGGUGUGCUUAGUUUAUAAUGGUUGGAUACAGAAUUUCACUUUGUUGAUUUCAAAGUGGGAACCAUGUUUUUUUGCAGUAAUUGUUGUACAAGAUACAUACAACAUUGCCAUUUGCAUGCUUCAUAGCUCUUGUAUUUUCUGUUCAGCUCCAUUGCAGCUUCAAUGUCAUAGAAGCUUCCCCUCAGCAGAAGUGGUGAGUCGAUUCAGUUGAUGAUCAGUUAUGACUCUCUCCUCUUCUUCAUCUUGGCUCAGCAGCAUGUCUGAAAUUUAAAUGCUUUUUAAAUAUGAAAUUGGAUCAUAAUUUCAUCUCAUUGUUUAGUCACACACUUAAGCUUGAAGUGAGAUCUAGGAAGGUGUCUUCACUGCAGGGGAUUGUGAUACCUCCCAUGGGAUGGUCGUAUCCAAAUUCUUCUUCAGCUUGACUCAGCAAAUCCAUAAAUGAAGGUUGGUUUAAGUAUGAUAUUGGAAUCACAAACCGCUUCUUCUGGCUCUCUCCGACAUAGACUGCAAAGUAGCCUUUUGGAAUAUCUAAGGUCUUUGAAGCUGUCUGGUUUCCAUUAGAUGAAGAUCGAGUAAGGAUUCUCUUGGUGUUAGAAAUUCUGGGGAGCCUGAAACCCAUAGUUUAUAUAUUCUUAAGAGGAAGAAAAAUGAAAACUCUUGACAGGAUGAGGUAGCUGGAAUAAGCUUUGAUGUUUAUGAAGGAGAUGACUUGAGUUCCUGAUGGUUUAUUUGUGUGUGUAAUUGUGUAUAUAUAGAUGAUGAAUAAGCUGUGGAAGGUCAUCUGUUACAUGAAAUGAGUGGUUAAGUUGGCACCAAUGAUGAGCACCAACUUGUUUCAAAUCAAGAUAUCACAAGGAUUUGUCUCGUCCUUCACCUAACUCAUCCCCCAGCAGAUACAUAUGCUACUGUCGUUUGGUACUUACUUGAGUUGACAGACAAGAAAGAACCACCCAAAGUGAGAUAUCUUCCCUGCUUGAGACUUGCUGUUCUAUAGUAUGCUGGUGUGUAGGGUUGCUUUACAGACAAGAAUUGAUGGAUGACCAAGCCAACAUAGCAUGUGGUUGUGCUACUUCUUUUAUGAGACCUAUGAUCUCCACUUCCAACAACUUGAGGAAUUAUUUCAUUUUGUCCAGUCAAUCAACCGAAGUCAAUUGAUGGUCAACCAUGCCGAGAAAACAGCUCAGGUAAAUGAUAUGACUAUGAACUUCAAGCUAUUUACUCAACUAUUUUUGACCCACCCUGCCAUGAAGAAAUUUGGACAAUUGCAGGUACAUAGACAGAAUUUUAACCCUGCCAUUGACCUACUCUUUAGGUUACUGUGAACUCUACAAUCUGUUCACACAUGAACAAUAUAGCCUUUUCAAUUACUUGAACUCGCCGAUUUAGUAUUUUCUUGAAUCAUUUACAGUUAUGUUUCCCAUUUUAGAACUUUCUUCCAGUUCAAAGUUGGAGUCUUCUCUCUGGACCACUAGUAGAGCUCAUACAAUGACACCAUUUGUCUGCUUCAUAAAUUAUUAAAUUAUAUCUUUCUCCUAAGCUAAGUGGCUUGGAAGAUGUUUGUCGAUUCAGUGGAUCAUGAUGCAUAGUUUAGCUUUGUUCAGCCAAUGCCCCCUUGUCCACAGCUUGCAUAUUGUUUUUUUUUGGGUAAAAUAUUGUAUAGUUCUUGUGGUUUAAAGUCGACAUCUGUUUAGUCCUUGUGGUUUUAUUUUAAUCUGAAUAGUCCUUAAAGUCACGAUUUUUCAUCCAAAUAGUCCUUAUGGUUUUAUUUUAAUCUGAAUAGUCCUUAAAGUCAUGAUUUUUCAUCCAAAUAGUCCUUAUGGCCUUUAACUGAGAAAAUUGUCGGAAUGACUAUUUGGAUGAAAAAUCAUGACUUUAAGGACUAUUCAGAUUAAAAUAAAAUCAUAAGGACUAUUUGGAUGAAAAAUAGUGACUUUAAGGACUAUUCAAAUUAAAAUAAAACCAGAAAGACUAAACAGAUGUCGACUUUAAACCACAAGGACUAAACAAAUUUCAAUUUUUUUUUUUUUUUUUCUUUCUUAAAGUCUGGUGGGAGAACACAGAUGCUGCAAAGCAUGCUGACCCUGAAAUCUUGUUUUCUUUGCUAUCCUAUUAGUAUCCAUAUUCAUUAGCAUAAUAGGAAGACAAGACUGCAUGUAUAGCCAUGCUUAUAAGAAUAAAAGGUAUAUUUAGAAAUGACUUCCAUGAAAUCAUCAGUUCUAUAUGCCAGAAGUAUUGCUAUGUUUAUAGGUGGGUUUCCAUAUAAUCAUCGCAAUCACGAUUUUUGUUUUGGAUGCUGCAUUCGGAAUGAGGCCAAUGAGCUAGAAACUAAUGAAGAAUAAGAAAGUGGAUGAUUUGAAUUAUCAGUUCUAUAUGCCAGAAGUAUUGCCAUGUUUAUAGGUGGGUUUCCAUAUAAUCAUUGCAAUCACGAUUUUUGUUUUGGAUGCUGCAUUCGGAAUCAGGCCAAUCAGCUAGAAAAUAAUGAAGAAUAAGAAAGUGGAUGAUUUGAAUUAUAUUCUCAAUGCUUUUCUUGAUAGCAAUAGAAGUAGCUACACAGAAUUCUAACUGUGAGCACAAAAGUUGGAGCUCUAAUCAUGGGCCAACUGUGAUACAGUAAUACAGAGCUCGUAUGGCAUUCACAUUGGUCUUCUUCACAAAUUUGGUAUCUUCCUGCAUGCUCAGCUCAAGUGCAGCUUCAGGGUUCUUGAAGUUUUCCUUGAACAGGUGGUGAAUCCAUUAAGUUGGAUCAUCAAGCGUAGAUUUGUCUUCAGCUUGGCUCAGCAGCGAGUUUUAAAAUGAGGAGGUUUUGGAUCCAAGUUCCACUUCAUUAGUCUUCCUUCACACACUUAAGCGGGAAGUGAGAUCAAUGAAGGUAUCUUGACUGCAAGGAAUUGUGAUACCGCCCAUUGGAUGAUGGUAUCCGAAUUCUUCUUCAGCCUGACUCAGCAAAUCCAGAAACAAUGGUUGGUUCAAAUAUGAUAUUGGAACCACAAAUCGUUUCUUCUGGCUCUCUCCAACAUAGACUGCAAAGUAACCUUUUGGGAUAUCUGAUGUCUUUGUGUUGGCAAUUCGAGGCAAUCGGAAACCCAUGGUUAAUCUGUAUAUUUUGAAGUGAUCAAAGAAGGACGAAAAUGAUGCAAAGUCCUUGGGAAGCAGAGAAAGCUUAAUCUGAUGCUUGCAAUAAGAGAAUGAGUUGAGUUAGCUCAUAAACCUGAUAAUGUGUGUAUAUAUAGAUGAAGAAAUGGUAUGUGGAAAAUAAUCUGCCACAUGAGAUGGGCUCCAGGUAGGAACACUGGCUUUUGAGAAAACACAUGGAUUUGUCUUCCUACUCAAAGCACAUGUAAAUGGUACCAACCUGUAUACUUGGACAGAAACAAUAUUCCCUGCAUCCUUUAUUUGAUAUAUAGUAGACAAGAGGAGGACUACCACAGAUUUCACUCCAACUACAAACAAUCUAUGUUGAAAGAUGAGGCAGCGCUAGGAUAAGAGGCUGGAAAAUGCUGAAGCUGGUUAAUGGUGAAGUAGGCCUACUGUAUUGUACAAGAAAUGAGUAGUUGAAUGAGGGACACUGGCUUGUGAGAAAUUGUGAAAUCACAUGGGUUUGUCUUGCCAUUCUCAUAAGUUAUUGUCUUCCCAUAGCUUUCACAUGUAUAUACUACUGAAGAGACCAAGUCCUCCUGUCGAAACAUGCUUUCCUUGCCAAGACUUAUACAUAACAUACACGAAAGCGACAUAUCAGAAGCGAAAUCAUUAUCUAAGAAAUAAUUAGAAGCGGGAUUUAAAAAUGCAGGUUUGUCUAACACUUAUAAUCAAUGCUGUUACCAUGAAUUGGUGGUGCCAAGACAUGGGGCCGGAGCAUGAUUACGUUUGUUGUUUUAUUUACAAUCUACGAUAUCUAGUUUUAACAAACUGAUGAAAUGUUUGUUUUGUUUGUUCAUCCAAACAUAACCACCCUAAACUGGGUGUUGCUCUUUGAUCAUUUAGAGAUAAAGUUUAUGUGAAUUGAGCACCAGUUGUUUGAUAAUGAGUCUGAGAAUCUCUGAUAAUUUUUAUGCUAUUUUUCCCGAAUGCUUAUUUGAACUGAUCAGUCUGCCUUACACUUGGUUUUGUUCUUCAGAUUACCGAUUUUUCUUUGCACAGCUGACUGAGCUAUACGAAUAUUGUUAUUAGCUUCAUGAUUAUUAAUGCGGUUGUGUUCAACUUAGCUGUACUUAUUUGAUUGUUACUCUUAACUGUAACUAUAAGCACUCCUGUUUAUUUGGUUUCGAAUAUGUCAAUGUAAAACAAGUAAUAUAAGUUAUAGGUGAGUAUUCACAUAACCGUAAUGCAAACAAGUUUGUUUUGAGUGCUGCAGUGCCAAUCAGGCUAACAACUUGAAAUCUAUUUCUGCAGAUAUAUUUUCCAGAGGAAGGAUCCCCCUCAAUCAUUUGGGAUGACCGGGUGUGAAAAUGGUAUGACACUAGUCCUGAUUUGGAGCUAUAGGCUAUAUAUGCUGUUACAGUUUGUUUGUGGUUAAAAUAUUCUGCCAUUUAGUAAAUAAUGGUAAUGGACUAAUGGUGCAAGGGAGAAUAAGACAGAAAACUUAAUCAUGAUCGGUAUUAUAUGUUCCCAUAAUAUGGUAAUGUUUGAACUGAAAAGUAAGUUUACACAGGAUUGAAGACAAAAUGUCAGUAUCUUUGAGUUCAAAAAUGGAGUAGUGACACUUGGAUGACUUGUUUUUAUGGAAUCAUAUAGAGUCGCCAUUUGUCUGCUUCAUCAUUAUAGUAUCUUUGAGCUUCAAAGCAGCUUCAGAGUUGCAGAUUCUUCCCAUCAGCAAAGAGGUUACUUGAUUCAAUUGACGAUAAAUCAUAGCCUUGCCUCUUCUUCAAUCAUCUUGGCUCAGCAGCAUGUUUUCAAAUGUUGAUGCCUUUCGAAUAUGAAGUUGGAUCCCGCUGUGAUAUUAUCAUUCAGUCACACACUUAAGCUUGAAGUGAGAUCAAGGAAGGUUUCUUCACUGCAGGGGAUUGUGAUGCCACCCAUGGGAUGAUCGUAUCCAAAUUCUUCUUCAGCUUGACUCAGCAAAUCCAUGAAUGAAGGUUGGUUCAAGUAUGAUAUUGGAAUCACAAACCGCUUCUUCUGGCUUUCUCCGACAUAGACUGCAAAGUAGCCUUUUGGGAUAUCUAAGGACUUUGGAGCUGUCUUGUUUCCAUUAGAUGAAGAUCGAGUAAGACUUCUCUUGGUGUUUGAAAUUCUGGGGAGCCUGAAACCCAUAGUUUAUAUAUUCUUAGAGUAAGAAAAAUGAAAAUUCUUGAAAGGAUGAGGUAGCAGGAAUCUUUGAUGCUUGUGAAGGAGAUGACUUGAGUUCCUGAUGAUUGAUUUGUGUGUGUAUAUAUACAUGAUGAAUAAGGUGGGGAAGGCCAUCUGUUACAUGAAAUGAGUGGUUAGUGAUGGACACCAACUUGUUUGAAAUCAAGAAAUAACAUGGGUUUGUUUUGUCCUUCACAUAACUCAUCACCAGCAGAUACAUAUGCUACUGUCAUUUGGUACUUACUUGACUUGACAGACAAGAAAGAACCACCCAAAGUGAGAUAUCUUCCCUGGUGCUUCAGACUUGCAGUUCUAUACCAAGCUGGUGUGUAGGGUUUCUUUGCAGACAAGAAUUGAUGGAUGGCCAAGCCAACAUAGCAUGUGAUUUUGCUGCUGCUUGUAUGAGAUCUAUAAUCUCCACUUCCAUCAACUUGAGGAAUUAUUUCAUUUUGUCCAGUGAAUCAACCAAAGUCAGUUGAUGGUCAACCAUGGUGAGAAAACAGCUCAGGUAAUGAUAUGACUAUGAGUUUCAAGCUAUUUACUCAAAUAUUUUUUACCCUGCCAUUAAGAAAUUUGUACGCACACAUACAUAUGCAUCAUGUAUAUACAUAUAUUUAUGCUGUUUGCUUGUUUCUCUUGAAAUUCUCUAAAUUUUAAUUACUUGUGUUUCAAUUAAGAAUGGUAUUCAGAGUCCUUUUUCUUCUCCUACUUUAAUUCUCAGAGAUUGCCAUGCUUCUGAUCUGUGCUUGGAAAUGCCACCACAGGCACUUCUUUUGUUUAUUUCUGGGUUUGGUUUCUCUUUAUAUCAUAAAGGCUAUUGCAUCUCUACUUUGUUUUUUUAAAAUUUUUAUAUAUAUAUAUAUAUAUUAUUUUUUUUUUUAUAUAUAUUUUCUCAUCUGCUAUAAUAAUAUCAUUUACCAUAUUUACUGUUUCAGGCUUUAUCUAAAGAUAUCUUAAUGGUAAUGUUAAUAUCAAUGUGUCUAAUUGAAGACACCAUAAUUAGGCAUGUCAUUCUGGUAAAUCUGAUAAAUCCAUUAUAUCACUAAGUCAUACUUCCUUUUCAACAUAUCCUGUGAUUUGGUAAUUAUAUCGCUACAAGAAAAUGAUAUAUGAGAAAUUAGACCCGAAAGUUUAUCAGGUAUUGAAAUAUAUUGCUUUGCAUUCCCAUAUUUUCUAAAGAACAAGACAGUUAAAUAUGGGAGUAAAAAGACAGAACUUGACUGUCAUUGAGGUCAAAAUUUGGAGUCUCAUGAACUUCAGAAUAAUUGCUUAGAGAGUGUAUACAAUGUUCAUGUUUGCCUGCUUCAUAAGCUAUGAUUUGAUUCUUCUUCAAAAUUUGGAAAGCCCUCUUCAGCACUGAAGCAGUACAGCAUGCCGGCUUCCCCUCCACACAAGAGUGAUUCGAUUCUGUGAAUGAUCAAAUUAUCAAUGAAGCUUCUUCAUCUUGACUGAUCAGUGAGUUUUGAAAUCAGGAUAUUUUGGAUCCAGGAACUGCUUCGUUAGUGUUUGCUCACACACUUAAGCGGGAAGUGAGAUCAAUGAAGGUGUCUUCGCUGCAAGGAAUUGUGAUACCACCCAUUGGAUGAUGGUAUCCAAAUUCGUCUUCAGCUUGAGUCAGUAAAUCCUGAAACAAAGGUUGGUUCAAAUAUGAUAUUGGAACAACAAAUCGUUUCUUCUGGCUCACUCCAACAUAGACCGCAAAGUAUCCCUUUGGUAUCUCUGGUGUCUUUGUGCUAGCAAUUUUAGGAAAUCGGAAACCCAUGGUGUCUAGAUACUGAAGUGAUCAAAGAAGGAAGUAAAGAAUUCAAAGGACUUGGGAAACAAAGAAGCUUAAGUUGAUGUUUGCAAGGAGAGGAUUUGUGUUUGCUAACCUGAUCAUGUGUGUAUAUAUAGAGAAAUGAUAUAUGGAGAAUUAAAGUUCCUUGAUAAAGAGGCAUUGAGGUGGGAACAUUUGCUUGUGAGAAACCACAUGGGUUUUGUCUACCUACUCAAAUCAUGUAUAACCGGUACCAAACUGCUUACUACUAUAUAAACAUUGUUCCCUACCUUUGGAUAUACAGCAGACAAGAAGAGGGCUACCACAGAUUUCAGUCCAUCUACCAAACUACAUUGACAAAAAAAGCCUGGGGGUAUGAUAAGAGGUUGCAAUCAUCUGCUACAUUCAUAAAGGAUGUAAGUAGUGAAGGAGGUACAUGACAUGAUGGUCGAAUGAGGGUCACUAGCUUUUCAUGUAAUCAGAUGGGUUUGUCUUGCCCUUCUCAUAAGUUCGUAUCCUCCCAUCGAUUUCACAUAUAUAUGCUACUGAAGAGGCUCUGUUUAAUAUCGUAGAAACAUGCCUUUCCAACACCCAACAUUGAAGUGACAUUUCUAUCCAACAAGAAUUGAAAUGCUGGUCACAAGUCGCAACAAGAACUGUUGGUGCUGCACUGCUGCUAUAUAAAGUCGUGCUAUAUAUCUUGAAUGGGAGUAUGGAGUAUGGAGCCAGUCUAGCAAUACGUUUUUUGUCUCACCUACAAUCUACGAUUUCUAGUUUCAACAACCUGAGGAAGUAUUUGGUUCUGUUUGGUCAGAUUAGAAAGUUCGUUUCGAUGGCCAGGUAUGAGGAAAUAGUCGGACAACUACUGAUUCUUAUGCUUCAGAAGCAGUAGCAGAGACGAGGAACAUUGAUUCUUCAAUGAUUAGAAUGUACUCCACUUAUUAGAUUCUUUUGAAAGAGUCACCCGAUGAGUAUCUAUUUGAUUCUUUGAAAUAUUUGUUUUCACUUAUUGCUUAUCGUUUAGUAUCUGGAUUUUCUUGUGUUAUAAUGUUGUCUUGUUGAUUCGAAGACUGAAGGGGAUAUUCAGUCUUUAACUGCUGGUAAAUAAUAAACAAUCAAUGGUUAUUGUGAUUAAUCAAAAAGAGAAAUUAGGUCAGUCAAAUUGGUUUGGGUUUGUAUCACCAAGCUUGACAAAAAGUUUGUUCUAAGACCAGUAUAUCCCGGUGGUCUAAGACGGGCUGUUUCGAGUCGUCCGUUCUAAGUUACAAGGGAGGAUGCCCGCGUCUAGCCGCGGGUUUUUCAUGACACUUCAAGCUAUGUUUCUAUGUUAACUAUGAUGCAAUGUAUGAUAAACACCUUAAAAAAAACAAAAAAAACCUAUCACUGAAAUAUGAGCGAGCUUUUUUGCAAAAGAGAAUUUGAAAGUUACUCCGUUGUUAAAUGUACUUCAUUUGACAAUACAUUACUCUACAGUUUAGAGAAUUGUACAUUACAUUCCUCUUCUAUUUGUACAUAAAAACUUUCAGAAAUUGCUUUCAAUUGCUAAAAAUAGUUGUGCCACAUGUUGGGAGUCUGAUCCGGAGUCGUUUACAAAAGUACGCUCUUGAAUGAAUCAGUAUUUCACCAAAACCUCCAGGCAGUCAUUAAUGAUCCGCUUAUACUUUCAUGUCAACUGUCCUCGAGUAUCUUCAAAUUGUUGGAAGAAUUUUUGCCUUGCUUGAGUUGCCAUAAAAGGUCAUAAAUGAAAUUCACAUAACAGCUGAUAAAUAACUAUGAAUAUAAACUGCCAAAAAUAAACUACAAAGAUCUAUUUUGUUUAUUUUCUUAUGCUAUCUAAGUUUUGUAUUUAGGGGGCAACAGAACUUAUUGUACUUCUUAUAUUUGCAUUUUCAGCUGAUGUAUCUUCAUGAGUUAGAGUUAUUUCAAUGUGAUCAACACUUUCCUCAUUCAUGAGUUAAGAGUUAUUUCAAUGUGAUCAACACUUUCCUCAUUCAUUCAUAUCAGGAACGAACACUGGUGUAUGAAGCUGUAACAGCAAACCCAAGAAAAUAGCAGAGGGUAUUAGGUAAAGAUACAAAGUGAACAAAUCAACACUGACAAUCUCCUUACGGCCUAAGAUUUUAGCAAGCAGCAGGAAUUGUUUGUUCUUGUUUUUGUGGCUAUAACUAAUAUAGCAUCUUAUCUCAUCAAUAACUUGGAAAACUGAUAGUUUACACCAUCUUGCACUGCAAAAUUCAUUCCAAGUUGGAAGGAUCGUGAUUAAUUUUUAAAUGUCUCAACAAUUAAAUGCCUAAAUAGAUCAUGUCAUGCUAAACUGAUUGUACAUAUAUUGGAAAAGCAACAGUGUUGUAAGUUGUGUAAAACAAUACUUAGUAGUAAACUGUGGUAACUGAAGAUAGCUUAAUUAGUUGGCUAUAAUUGAUUGAUGUUCGAUAANNNNNNNNNNNNNNNNNNNNNNNNNNNNNNNNNNNNNNNNNNNNNNNNNNNNNNNNNNNNNNNNNNNNNNNNNNNNNNNNNNNNNNNNNNNNNNNNNNNNNNNNNNNNNNNNNNNNNNNNNNNNNNNNNNNNNNNNNNNNNNNNNNNNNNNNNNNNNNNNNNNNNNNNNNNNNNNNNNNNNNNNNNNNNNNNNNNNNNNNNNNNNNNNNNNNNNNNNNNNNNNNNNNNNNNNNNNNNNNNNNNNNNNNNNNNNNNNNNNNNNNNNNNNNNNNNNNNNNNNNNNNNNNNNNNNNNNNNNNNNNNNNNNNNNNNNNNNNNNNNNNNNNNNNNNNNNNNNNNNNNNNNNNNNNNNNNNNNNNNNNNNNNNNNNNNNNNNNNNNNNNNNNNNNNNNNNNNNNNNNNNNNNNNNNNNNNNNNNNNNNNNNNNNNNNNNNNNNNNNNNNNNNNNNNNNNNNNNNNNNNNNNNNNNNNNNNNNNNNNNNNNNNNNNNNNNNNNNNUUUUUUUUUCUCAACAAUGUUAAACCAUCUUCAAAGUUAUAGAAGAGCAUACUUACAGCGACACUAUAGGCAAAAACAAAGUGAGAGAUUCCUCCAAUUAUCAAAUGCUCAUUCCAGAGGUAGUACAGCUGGCAUAUCUGAAAAGCAAUGACUCAGAACUUUAGCAACAACAAAUGGAAAAUAAGACAUCAUAUUGAUACAUAACAGAUGUAAUAAGGACACGUUAACAGACCGUAUAGCCUCAGUGAUCUGUUCAAAUAAAAUCCCAAGACAGCAAAAUGGUCUCUAAAUUACAUACAAAACUGAUAUCUAAAAUGUGUCUGUUAGACCUCCGAAAAUUGAAUAAUAACCACGCACACCGCAGUUCUUUCUUUGUUACAAUUCUUGUACAUAUAUCAAUUGGCAAAGACAAAGUUUUUACCACACAACCAAUCAGUCCAUGAUCACAAUCAUCUAUCAGUUAACAUUCACUAUCAUAAUAUCAAAGUAAAAGACUAAACAUUCUGCAAGAAACCACAAAACCUUAAACACUCUGCAAGAAACCACAAAACCUUUACAUAGAUAACAAUGAACAACUGGAAGACAUGAAAAUUGAGAUCAUCCCAUUUUCACAUACACAAUAAAGCGAAUUUGAACAUAAAGGAAAAAAAAGGUCACAGUUUCGGCUAAAAAUGCUUCUUCCUCUAAAAUUGAGAUGGCAAAUACUUGGUAGAAUUAUAUGUUUUCACUAAUAUUAUACUAAUAGUGGAAGACUAAAAUAAUUGCUUACUAAAGACUGGAUGAAUAUAAUUAAGGCUGUUUGACACAUUGGUAGUUUAGGUGGUUUUGUAGGAUAUGGCCACAUGAAUUCUAAAUAGUCAAAAUUAAUCACAAAACGAAAGGCAAGCAUCCCCAACACCUAACCUAGAUCCAUAAACAGUUGCUAAAAUGGAAGCUCCUCCUUCUCUACUGCAGCAACUAUUGGUCGAUUAACCAAAAUGAAACUGGUAAUCAUAUAAUCAGUUGUCAUGGUCCAAAAAUAUACUAAUUACAUUUUAGUUCUAUAGAUAACUGCCUGCAUGCCUGCAACUCAUUCCAGAGGUGUACACUGUGAUUCUGACCAAGUCAUCACAGUGUUGAGUGGUAUAGUCGGNNNNNNNNNNNNNNNNNNNNACGGUAUAAACAACCCGACGCAAAAGCAAGCAAGAAAGAUGAGCAAGUUAUAAGCAAAUCAAAAUUCAAUACCAUAUACCUAUACCCAGCAAUUGGUGUUGUCGAUGUUGAGGGGAAGCUAAAUAUGAACCACAACAGACAAUUAUAUUUCCUGCAUAACAAAGUAGAUGCAAACAUCAGUCUAACCAAAAGCCUGUGCAUAAUAAACCAACAUAACAUAUGCCUAGUUAUGUUGGGUUCCUGUUGGGUUCCUUUCUAUUGCACCUUCACCUCUACCUAUAGAGACCACAAAUGUACUGCCCUAGUACCUAAAAUAUGUAAAAAAAUCAUAUUUAGAUAAUCAAGUGAAAGAUUAGUUGAGCCAAGUACAUAGCAAAGUAUUGAGAAGUAAAAGCUUACAGAAAAUAAAGGAAGCAAAUCAGGUUUUGCAAAUAUCGUCUGGAAAUUUCAUGUUUUAGUGUGAGAAAAGCAAAAGAUUAGAUUUAAUAAUGAGGCAUAAAAAACAACUUGAGCAGGGGAAAAUUUUCAUGGCAAUAGACUGAGAUUCCUUUACCAUCAGCUGCAUGAGUAACUAAUAGAUGACAUGUAAAAGACAAUUAACACCUUGUUGUUGAAGUUCCAUCGUCCCUCAUACAGGGCAAUUCUCACCGUUACCUACAUUAAAUUGUUCGUUAAAAAAAAAUACAUUAAAAAGAGCGCUGAUGGACAUAUUAUGAGAAGAGAACAUGGCAUGGUAUUAGAAAAGUAUCCCUCCACAAACACCCAUAUUGAAAUCAUUUUUUUACCUCUGGAUUAUGAACAACGCAUUUUUCAACUUGUACUCUCCACAGAAAUACUGCAUGUAGUAAUCACAGGAUCACUAUCGUAUUGGUACUUGCUUGCAACUUAAAUAUCAAAUGAGAAAUAAGUAAAUUCAGUCUAUAUCGUGUAGUAUCUGUACCCCCUUAUUGCAUUAUCUAGAAAAAUUGAACUAAAUGAAGUGUACAUAUCAUUAUUUAUCCAAGCAAAGAAAUGAUACCAUAUCAGUUUCUAAAUCGACUAAGAUGAAGGGGCAAAGGAAGUCGCAAGAUUCAAAGGGAAGGAUGAAGUGAAAAAUAUAUGAAAGACUAACCAAAUUAUUCUGAUAUUACGUAAAUCAGUAGAAUGAAUUGCUACUGCUUUUGGAACUAAGUAGUCAGGGUCUUCAGAACAGUCUUCAUCUUCUGGUAAGUUACUGUCAAGCCAAGAGGACCAGCUUAAAUCACUAUCUUCAUCCCAUGUGAAAUUCUGGUAUCUCUGCAUGCCAUUAAUCUUCUCAAUCAAUGCAUGCAUUAGAUGAACUAAAGCAGUCGUUGCAAAGAAAGACAUGAGAAGGUUUAUCUUCCAUGUUUGUUGAUCAAUAUCAUUCCUUGUGAACCAAAGUAUUGGUACAUUUACUAAGUUUACUAAGAGAGUUAAACACCGCCCUGUGAAGAGAAUUACAUAUACGAAGUCAAUAUAAGUUUUUGAACCCGUAUAAGUGUCUGUAUGUAGAAGUCUUAUUUUUCAUAGUAAGAGAGAGUUAUGUACCGAUACAUAGCCAAGGUCUAACUGUGUAUGUUCGCUUUGUGCUUGUGAACAUGUAUAUGAGAGAGAUUAAUAUUAAGUAAAUACUGACAACUUUUAUCAAGUGUGACUGAAGUAGUAUUGCAUUAAACAAAGCGAAUAGGUUGUCUAAUGCGGUGAACAUGCUGGCCUGCUUUGAUUCAAAGCUUUGUAUGAGCAAAAAUCGAGUCAACAUAAGAAUUAAUAUCAGUUGAAACAACUCUAAUUAGUUAGACAUCGUGAGCUAUACAAACCUGUGCCUCCAAUAUUGACUUUGAGUUAUCCAUCAGGUGAGCCAGGUAGAUUUGUAUUUGUUCUAAUGGUGAUCAUGGGUCCCCAAUCAACUCAUCAACUGUUGAAUGAUAAAAGUGUUAUUUUCCCCUUGUGAUACAAAUAAGAAAAAAACUAAAGAGAAGAUGAUGAUCAUCAGAAUUUAUCUCAUGGCCCUAGCUUAUACCUGGGUAUACCCCAUCGAAUUCAUCCAUAUAAUCAUGUAAAGCAAAAAAUUCAAAGAACAACUGAAUAAUAAUCAUCCAUCCAUAUACGUUUUCUAGGAUGUAAUAUGAGAAAUCACAACGGCAAACCAAAAGUAAGGAAUCAAAAACAAACGCAGAAGCAAGGACUGAAAAAUCAAUUUGGAGAUCACAACAAAAGAAAAUCACUCAUCAAAUCUGAAGUACCUGGAGUUGAGAUCUGUUACUACAGUAGAUGAGGGCUUUUUCAAAUGGAUCUCAUGCUGCUGCAAUUGCAUUGAGUAGUUAUAUCUUGAUUAUGUUUUUGGGCCAAAAAGUAUCACCAUUCAAUUUCGCUUUGAAUCUUCUGAUUCUAGUAGCACCACUAUGACAGGGAAAGAAGCGGCGAACAUCCAGAAGAUAUAAGCGGCAAAGAGCGAGUUUUUUACCCUCCAUAUAUCGAUUUCUUCCCAUCUCGCCGUCCUCUUCUCUCACGCUCUCUCUUCCCGCUUUCUCUUCUGUUCAGCCCCCAUCGAUCGAUCGACACACCUUUUGCUCUCUCUUAUCUCGCCCUAUUAACAGGUUAGAUCUUCUUUUCGGUUUUGCAGAUGGGGCAUGGUUACAACAACCACAACAAUCGUCAGUCUCAAUUCUCAAACCUCAAUCGGCCUCUCUUUCACUCUCUCAGGCUCUCUCAUCCAUCUCAAUCUCUUUCUGCGUCGCAAUAGAAGGAAGACACGCGCGAUAUGCGCUGGCGGCUGAGGCGGUUGAGUAUGUAAGACGAAAAUGGCAGAAGCGUGAUUACACUGGAAACAGGGAUGAAGAUGUAAGUUCCAGGGUACCAUAUGAACAGUGCAAGCUGCUUGGUACACCCUUUACUAUGCGAAGGUGCUGCUGUCUCAUGACCUGUAAGUUCUGGUUGCAAAUUUUCUGGUGUUCUGAAAAACGCUUUCCUCUUGGAAGUUCUGAAUUUAGGCAGCAUAGCUGAAACUGGCAUUACAUGUGAACAAUCACUCAAAACUUUGGCAACGAAAACUGGAAAUAUUUGGUAAGCGACUAAGCAAAGAAAAAAAAAAAACUCAAAUUAGGUAAGAUUACUCAUAUAUAUAUAUAUAUAUAUAUAUAUGAGGACUCUGAACCUCAUAAUAGGGAAGCGAAUAAGACAAAGGGAAAAAAAAAUAUUCAAAUUAGGUAAGACGUUGCAUAUAGAACACUAACAAUAACACACCAAGAAGAAAAACCUUAUGGUAGUAAAACAAUAAUAGGAUUCCCUGAAUACAAUCCGGGAUAUUUAAUGGAACGAACUUUUUGAAUUCACUAACUUUCAGGAAUUUUUGAAUUCACUAACUUUUUGCAUCUGAACUCAUGAUGCAAAGCUGUGAUUUUCAUUUCUCAAACAUUGAAACAAAGUCACACCAGCUGGCAUGAACAAAGCACUCCAGGAAACUAUCUUAGACUAAGAACAAAACUGAGCAUUUAAGCAUUAUUUUGAAGUUGGAUUGCUAACAGUAACAAACAUAAGAAUUUGAAAUGACUCAUAACUAAAUUUCUACAUAUCUCUGUGAUCAUCAAAAUGAUAACCUCAGCCCCACCUCGAUCAUGUACCUGAAUUCUAAGAAUCUACAGGUCCCAACUGUCACCAAUCACAAAUCCCUAAGAAUUAUACACUGAGACCUGUCAGCUAGCACAUUUUGCUAGAUGAAAACAUGAUUCCCAAUAUCUUAGAUUUUGGUUUGGUUCAUGAGCAAUACGGCAACUAACAGCAAAAAAUAUGAGUAAGGUUUAUUUGAUGAAACAUCCAAAAUAUGAGUAAGGUUUAUUUGAUAAAACAUAACAUUCAUCGCUACAUUUCACUUGUGUCAAAAAUGUUUCUUGAUCUAAUAAUAACAAUAUCCAUAAUGUAGGGAAGACUUUUCACGUCAGUAUGCAAAUAGAGGUGUGCUUUCAGAGAAAUCAGAUGCAUAUAACUUUGGUGACUGAUGCUAGAGAUUCUCAUGAUGCCGAGAAUAACAGUCCAGGGUGAUGCCGUAACUAUGACUUCUCUCUACAGAUCCCUUAACCUCAUACUGGCAAUGAAUCAAAUUUGAAUUUACUUUUUUGAUAUUCUAACAGUAUGCAAUGUGAUUAAUUCAUGGUAAUCAUUGCAAAUUUUGAUUCAUUGUUCAUACAGGCAAUGAAUCAAAUUUCUGUUCUAGUUCAUAAUAAUAUUGAAUGCCACUAAUCACAUCUUGGUUGGACCAAGAAAACAGACAGCAAUAACCAACAAACAGAUCAUGCUGUACACAAAGUAGAAACCCAUGAGCAGAAAUUUGAUUCAACUCUAGCAAUUGCAACUCCAACUGAUUAUAUUGCUAAUAUCAAAACACAAAUGCAAUUCAAUUAGAAGAAAGAAGAAGCGGCGAAUAUCAAAACCAAAACACAAAUACAGAAACCCAAAACCACCUGGAAACGAACAAAAUGGAAAUCGUCCAAGCCAAUCGGCAACAAACCCUACGAUUCGAAGCUCAGAAACAACAAAAACAGGAAGCUGAAAACCCAAACUUCCUUUUCAAAUAGAAAGACGAAGAUAGCAAUACGAAUGGGUUUUGAAGACCUACCGAAACCGAGAAGGAAACGAUUCAAGAUUAGCAGAAAAACACAAAGUAGAAACCCAUAAGCAGAAAUUUGAUUCAACUCUAGCAAUUACGACUCCAACUGAUUAUAUUGCUAAUAUCAAAACACAAAUACAGUCAUAGUAUUUAACGAACACAAACACAAACCCAAAACCACUUGCCUUUGACGAACCCCAAAUCAAUCGCUUGAGAAAGUAAGAAGCGGCGAAGAUCGAGAGAAAAGAAGCGGCGAAGAGCGAGGACGUAAGUCGCAGUAUGCAGAGAGGCAAGAGAGAGGAGGAAAGAAGAGGUAGGCAUCGAUCCAGUCCAGCGGUUAAGAACUAACGGCAAAACUGCGAAUAAACGGGAGAGCAGGACAAAAAUGUAAGUUCAUACGGGUAAUGGCAAAACUGCGAAUAAACGUGAAAACGGGACGAACAUGUAAGUUCCGGGGGGUCCAUAUGAACAGUGAUGGGCUGUACACGUUUUAGUAUAGAGUAAAUAACAUCAAUACAUGAUAUUAUAACAUCAAUACAUGAUUUCAAUUUAUAAAAGUUUAAUUUCAUUCUUCUAGAAUAGCACUUAAGGGAGGACACAUGAGGCGCACAUGCGUUUGUAAAAUUGGUUCCAAGUUUCCCCCACAUCGAAGGAAAUACAAUUCUGCUAUACAGUGUGGUAUAACAUACAAUUUACCAUGGGUAAAAGGAAGUUAUCAGACUCUUUUCAAAUAGGGCUAAUUACAUAUAAGUCCACUUUGAGACAUUUUUUCCCACAUAGAUCCACCCCAACAUUUUUACCCACAUAAGUCCACCCAAGUCUAAAUAAAGUUUUGCAUUAAGUAUUAAAGUUCAACAUAAUUACAGACUGCCAUCCAACAAAAAAAAAUUAGAUUUUCUCCUUUAUAUUUACAAGAAUGCCACUAGUAUAAAAAGUCAACAACCACUCUCAUUUCGGAACAGUCUCCGGCGGACCUCCGACGAGAUUUCCAGCGGACCUCCGACGAGAUUUCCAGCGGACCUCCGGCGAGGUUUCCGGCGAAGUUUCCGGCCGACCUCCGGCGAGAUUUCCGACUGACCUCCGGCGAGAUUUCCGGCCGACCUCCGACGAUAACAAAAUUUACUACUACCAGCUAAAAAAGCUACUACCACCAGCUAUAAAAGCUACUACCACCGCCUACAAAAGCUACUACAAAAGUUUCCGGCCGACCUCCAGCGAGAUUUCCGACCGACCUCCGGUGAGGUUUCCGACCGACCUCCGAUGAUGACAAAAAUUACUAUUACAAGCUAAAAAAGCUACUACCACCAGCCACAAAAACUACUACCACAAGCUACAAAAGCUACUACCACCGCCUACAAAAGCUACUACUGUGAGGUUUUCGACGAACACAAAAACUACUACCACCAGCGACAAAGCUACUAGCACCAGCUACAAAAGCUACUACCACCGCCUACAAAAGCUACUACUAUGAGGUUUCCGAUGAACACAAAGUUACUACCCACCAGCCACAAAACUACUACCACCGCCUACAAAAGCUACUACUAUGAGGUUUCCGACGAACACAAAAACUACUACCACCAGCCACAAAAGCUACUACCACCAACUACAAAAGCUACUACCACCGCCUACAAAAGCUACUACUGUGAGGUUUCCGAUGAACACAAAAGCUACUACUGUGAGGUUUCCGAUGAACACAAAAGCUACUACCACCAGCCACAAAAACUACUACCACCGCCUAAAAAAGCUACUACGUCCAUUGAUUCAUCAAUCAAGCAAUUGAAUCAGCAACAUGCAAAAGUCAAAACUAGUGGAUUUGAAAGCUUCCAAAUUACAUAUUAAACCAGAAAUUAAACAAGAACAAAAUCGGCAUAAUCAAUCAAACUAGUAGAAUAAUCAGAAAUUAAAAGGAAGAAAAUAACAUUGAACCUAAAUUGAAGUAGCUCACACCUCAUUGUCUUCCCCGAAAUUGAGCAUAGAGUGAAGCGAUCUGAACAUCGACGUCAUCCGAGUCGAUCAUUCCGAUGACGAGCGGCAAAACGACGUCGAGCAUCACAAGCGUCUCCAGAGGUCGUCUCUCGAACUCUCAGAUCACUGUUUUGUAGCCAAAGGUUGACGAUUCUUUGGCGUCGACGAGCGUUAUGCAGUCGNNNNNNNNNNNNNNNNNNNNGAGAGAGAGAGAGAUGUUUGGGGAAAAGAAACUGACGUCUUGGUGUAGAGAGAGGGGAGGGCAUUUUAGGUACAUCAUAAAAGUAAAAUAACAGAUUUAGCCUUAAAAGUGGACUUAUAUGAGUAAAACUGUUAUGGUGGACUUAUGUAGGAGAAAAUGUUCAGAAUGUGACUUAUAUGAAAUUUUCUAUUUCAAAUACCGAAAAAACCCAAUCAAACACGUUUGACCUCAUAUGAUAAGUGCAUGUAUGCUUUUUUGUGUAGAGUACGUGUCUUAGAAUAAAAACCUUGGGCAUGCAGGGUGCAUGGGAAAUAGAGGAAGCUACACCUGUCUAUGGAAUCAUCACUUUGUAUAUGAGGAAGAGAGAAAGAGAAGAGACAGUACGCUUAGAGAAGAAAAAAUCUCAGUACCUUUCUCUCAAUUUGUAAACUUCAUCUUUUAGUUUGUAGUCUCAGUUUGUAACAUUUUCAGUAUCAAUAAAAUUUUCUCAGUUCACAUAACUCUCUGUUUAGAUUUCCUCAAAGCAAUUUCAAUUCAUAAAAGUUUAAUUCCCUUUAGACGAGGAUAUAGAACGUUGUAAUAUGAUCUUCUAGUUCGUAUAAAGAUUAUCUUAGAUAGUUGCCCUAAGCAGUCAAAAUCUAUUCUCUUUUAAACCUUCGUUCUUAUAGAAUUGCACUCAAGGGAGGACACGUGACGCGCAUAUGCUUUUGUAAAUUGGUACCAAGACUCCUAGGGCUGGAAUCGGUACGGUUACCGACUUUUUUUGCCGAUACCAUGUAGCAACCGACAUUUGAUUGGUAGCUAAAAUCUGCUACCAAUACCAACCGUCAACGUCAGUAUACCGACUUCUCGGUAUCCCGAAAUUCGGUUGGUACUGGUUGGUAACCGAGAAAUACCGUACGACGACGAAAUCCCUAAUUUCUGAAAAAUUGGGGAAGAGAAAGAUGAAGACAGACAACAAUUGAGUACCUGCAAUUUUGACGAGGAACAAGCAAAUCUGCAAAUCUGGAAUUGAGUAUUUGAAUUACCUUAAAUUUCCAUCAACCCCAUCUUGGUUGCAUCAAAUCGAUUGAGGAAUUGUAGAGGCCGGAUCUCGGUAGCUUCGGUGAUGAUGUCGGCAAAGGAGACGGAGGGGAAAGAGAGAAAGGGUGGGCUUUGAUGGAUUGGAACUGGAAAAAGGGUGAUGGUGGUCCGAGUUUCAUUGAAAAAGAAAGAUUUGUGGGUGAUUGAAAUGGUGGUCCAAGCAGAGAGCAGAAGAAAGAAUGGCGAAGAGCAAAGAAGAAGGAUGAUGAGGAGAGAGAGAAAAAAAAAAAGGGAAUGAAUUGAUAUUGUGAGAGUCUAUUUAAUGUGUUCAGCUGUUUUGACUUUUGACUUAGUAAAGCAAUAAAUUUAGGUUUUGCAUAUAUAUUAGUAAGAAGAGCAUCUGCUCUAGUGGUUGGAGGCGAGUCUCUCCAACUAUGAGGUGUUGGGUUCAAGCCUCAAUUUUGGUAAAAUGUGUUAUAUAUUUUGCAUUUGGAGGUGUAUACCGAUGGUAUACGUAUAUCUCGGUUGGUACGGUAUACUGAUGGUAUACAAAAUCGUGUACCGUAGCCGAACCGAGAUACAUACUUGGUACGGCUGAGCCGAGCCGAGACUCUCGGCUACCGACUGUUGUUGGCUCGGCUGGAACUCGGUUGGCUGGUUUGGCUCGGCUCAAAUUGCCAGCUUAGACUCCCACAUCGAAGGAAAGCGAAAACAGAAAGCUGUUCAUAUAUGAAAACAUUGCAGUGUAGCCCGUCCCUUCAGGGAUAUCCGAUAAAAUUGGAACGAUACGGAGAAGAUUAGCAUGUCCAAAUUUUUUCCCUUUCGCUCUCUUUUUGCGUGCUGGUGUUGUCUGGGUUUUUGCUUUUGUAGUUGUUAUUUCUGUUAACAUUUUGUGAUUUUGAACUGUCAGUGACCUGUAUUGUAUUGUUGCUCACCAACUGUUUGAUGAAAUGCAUGUGAGACGGUUUUAGUUAUUUUCUCUCGUUUUUUUAUUCCUCCAUCCAUUGACUGUUUAUGGCUAAGCAACUGCAGUUUUGAGUUCUUGGAUUUAUUGGUUGAAUAACUCAGUGUUGGUCUUGAUAUGAACCUGAGAAUCUCUAAUGUAUUGUUCCUUAUAACCCAUCAGGAAUGUCAUUGGUUUAUGAUGCUUCAUAAUGUUCUGACAUUGUAGGCAACUUAGCUCUACUCUUUUUUUUAUUCAUUAUUCAUAAGUCAUAACUCUAAACUGAACCUACUCUUUUGGUUACUAUGAACUCUAGAAUUUGUUUACACUUGAACUUGAUAGCCUUGAAUAUGUUUCCCUAUUUAAAACUUUCUACCAGUUCACAGUUGGAGUCUUCUUUUAGGACCAACCGUAGAGCUCAUACCAUUUGUCUUCAUAAAUUAUAGAUUAGUCUUCCUACAGUAGAGUCUUCAACUCUUCAUGUGGACCAACAGUUGGAGUCUUCAUAGAUUAGUCUUCUUUCUCUUCAGCUAAGCAGCGUGGAAGAUGUUUGUCGAUUCGUGGAUGACCAUUGAUUUCCUCCUGAAUCAGCGAGCACUGAGAUCAUGAUGCAUAGUUUUUAGUAUUGGUACAGCCAAAGCCAUUGUCCACUGCUUUCAAUUUUUUUUUAUUCUUUUUCCUUUCCUUUUGUCUGGUGAGAAGAAUGCUGACCCUGAAAUCUUGUUUUCUUUGCUAGUAUUCAUAUUUAUGAUUGAAUUGAAUGAUAGGAAGGCUGAACUUUUAGAAUGCAUAUGUCUGGAACAACAUUUAGACAAAUGGGGAGGUGUAGGUAGAAAUGACUUCUAUGGAAUCAUCAGCUCUAUAUACCAGAAGUAUAGCCAUGUCAUAUAAGUGGGUUUCUAUAUAGCCAUUACACUCGUAAUUUUGGUUUUGGAUGUUGCAUUGACAAUCAGGCCAAGGAGCUAGAAAUUAAUGAAAAAUAAGAAAGUUGAUGAUGACUUGAAUAUAUUCCCAUAAUUUUCUUGAUACCAAAUAGAAGGAGUUUACAAGGGACAGCACAGAAUUUUAAUUGUGAGUACAAAAGUUGGAGCUCUAAUGAUGGGCCAUCUGUUAUACAGAGCUCAUAUGGCAUUGUCAUCUGUAUGCUUCACAAAUUUUGUUUCUUCCUGCUCAGCUCAAUUGCAGCUUCAAAAUUCUUGAAGUUUUCCUUGAACAGGUGUCGAUCCAUUCAGUUGGAUCAUCAAGCGUAGACUUGUCUUCAGCAUGACUCAGCAGCUAGUUUCAAAAUGAGGAGGUUUUGGAUCCAAUAUCCACUGCAUUAGUCUUCCUUCACACACUUAAGCUUAAAGUGAGAUCAAGGAAGGUGUCUUGACUGCAAGGAAUUGUGAUACCACCCAUUGGAUGAUGGUGUCCAUAUUCUUCUUCAGCCUGACUCAGCAAAUCCAGAAACAAAGGUUGGUUCAGAUACGAUAUUGGAACCACAAAUCGUUUCUUCUGGUUCUUUCUAACAUAAACUGCAAAAUAGCCUUUUGGGAUAUCUGAUGUCUUUGUUCUGGCAUUUCGUGGUAAUUGGAAACCCAUGGUUUGUAUAUACUGAAGUGACCAAAGAAGAAAGAAAAGAAUUUAGAGGUCUUGGUAAGCAGAGAAAGCUUAAUUUGAUGCUUGCAAUGAGAGAAUGAGUUGAGUUCGGUCAUAAACCUGAUCAUGUGUAUAUAUAGAUGAAAAAAUGGUGUGUGGAAAGGAAAACCAUCUGCAACAUGAAAUGAUUGGUGAAUAGGCACUGAGAUGGGCUCCAGGUAGGAAAACUAGCUUGUGAGAAAUCACAUGGGUUUGUUUUCCUACUCAAAGCACAUGCAAUUGGUACCAACCUGUAUACUUGGAUAGAAACAAUGUUCGAAUUCCCUACAUCCUUUAUUUGAUAUAUAGCAGACAAGCGGAGGACUCUCACAGAUUUUACCCAACAAAUUAUGUUGAAAGAUGAGGCAGUGCUAUGAUAAGAGGCUGCAAAAUGUUAAAGCAGGUAAGUGGUGAAAUGAGUAGUUGAAUGAGGGACACUGGCUUGUGAGAAAUUGUGAAAUCACAUGUGUUUGUCUUGCCAUUCUCAUAAGUUAUUGUCCUCCCAUAGCUUUCAGAUAUAUAUGCUACUGUGGAAACCACGUCCUCCUGUCGAAACAUGCCUUCCCUACUAAGAUUCAUACAUAACAAACAAGAAAGUGACAUCAAUGCUGUCACUUUCUAAGAAACAAUCAGAGGCAUGCAUUAGAAAUCCAGGUCUGUCUAAUACUGAUAAUCAAUGCUGUUGCCAGCAAGAAUUGGUGGUGUAAGCUAUGUGAAUAUGAAUUGUGAGCACCAGUUGUUUGAUGAAAUGAGUCUGAGAAUCUCUGAUAAUUGUUUCCAUCAUGCUUAUUUGAACUGAUCAGUCUGCCUUACACGUAGUUUUGUUCUUCUGCUUACCGAUUUUUCUUUGCAUCUGACUGAGCUAAAUGAACAUUGUUGUUAGUUUCACGAUGGUUAAUGCCAUUGUAUUAAACUUAGCUAUGUGUUCAUACCUGUAACUAUAAGCAGACCUGUUUAUUUGGGUUCGAAUGUAAUGCAAACAAGUUAUAUACUUAUAUGUGAGCUGUAUAUGUGAGUAUUCAUGUAUCGGUAAUGCAAACAAGUUUGGUUUUGAAUGCUGCAAUACCAAUCAGGCUAACAACCUGAAAUUCUUUUCUGCAGAUAUAUAUUGCUGAGAAAGGAUUCCUCUCAUUAAUUUUGGAUGACUGAGUGUCAGAAUGGUACAACGCAUGUCCUGGUUUAGAGCUAUAGACUGUAAGCCACUACACUUUGUUUGUUGUUAGAAUAUACUGCCAUUCAGUAAAUAAUGAUAAUGGAUAUAUGCUGCAAUGGAAAAUAAGACAAGAAGGUCAAUCAUGAGCAAUGUGUAUUAUAUAUUCCCAGAAUAUGGUACUGGGAGAAACAAGUUUACAUGGGACUGAUGACAAAAUUUCACUACUUUGAGUUCAAAAAUGCAGUAGUGACACUUGGAUGAAUUGUUUUGUGAGUUCAUACGGAGUGGCUAUCGUAUGCUUCAUAAAAAUAGUAUCUUUCAGAUUCAUAGCAGCUUCAGAGUUACAGAAGCUUCCCCUCAGCAUAGCUUGAUUCAAUUGACGACCAAUCAUGUCUUCGCCUCUUCUUUGUUCUUCUUGGCUUAGCAGCAUGUUCUGAGAUGUUGAUGCUUUUUGAAUAUGAAGUUGGAUCCCUCUGUGAUAUUAUCAUUCUGUCACACACUUAAGCUUGAAGUGAGAUCAAGGAAGGUUUCUUCACUGCAGGGGAUUGUGAUACCGCCCAUGGGAUGAUCGUAUCUAAAUUCUUCUUCAGCUUGACUCAGCAAAUACAUAAAUGAAGGUUGGUUCAAGUAUGAUAUUGGAAUCACAUAUCGCUUCUUCUGGCUCUCACCAACAUAUACUGCAAGAUAGCCUUUUGGGAUAUCUAAGGUCUUUGAAGCUGUCUGUUUUCCGUUAGAUAGUGAUCGAAUAAGACUUCUCUUGGGGCUUGAAAUUCUAGGAAGGCGGAAACCCAUGGUGUCUAUAAUCUGAAGAGGAAGAACAAUGAAAGUUCUUGAGUGAACUUGAGAAAGAGAGAAAGCUUUGAUGUUUAUGAAGGGUAAGACUUGAUUGCCUGAUAAUUGAUUUGUGUGUGUAUAUAUAGAUGAUGCAAAGGGGUGUGGAUGGUCAUCUGCUACACAAAAUGAGUGGUUAAGUUGGCACUGAUGAGGAACACCAGCUUGUUUCAAAUCAAGAAAUCACAUGGGUUUAUCUUGUCCUCCACAUAACUCAUCACCCAGCAGAUACAUAUGCUACUGUCGCUUGGAACUUCCUUGAGUUGAUAGAAAAUAAAUGGACCACCCUAAUUGAGGAUGUGAGAUAUCUUCCCUGAUUGAGGCUUGCAGUUCCACUCUAUGCUGGUGUGUAGGGUUGCUUUACAGACAAAAAUUGGUGGAUGACCAAGCAUGCCGUUUUGCUGGUUCAUGUAUGAUAUCUAUGAUCUCUGCUUCCAAUAGGCUCAGGUACAUUUUGUCUAGUCAAUCAACAAAAGUCAAAUGGUCAACUUUGACAAGAAAAGAGCACAGGAAUGAUUAUAUAAGAGUUCGAAGCUAUUUCAACUUCUUUACCAUGGCAUUAGGAAACUAGGACAAUUACAGAUACACGCACACAUAUAGAUAUACAAUCAUGCUUGUUUGAACUGGGAAAUUCUCCAAAUUUAGACUACCUGGGUUUCAAGAAUUGAAAUUAGAUGAUCAUUUUCAUACUCCUACUCAAACAGGUUUUUAGUGCAUGAUGGUUUAUAUUUGGCCUUGUUUUUAGAUGUUUUGCUGCAUUUUUGGGUUUAUGAUUGUUUAUUCUCUCAACUUCGUUACCAAAUCAUACUCUUUUCAUCUGCUCAAGGUUUGAGUUCCUAACCUCUUUUUUUUUAAAAAAAAAAAAAAAAAAAACUAACUUUAGGUGCAAAAAGUCUUCUGUAUUUCAUUUCUUCACUGUCUGUCAUCGUCGUUUUCCCCCUUUCCAUCUUUGAGUUGAAAUGUCUGCAGUUUCAAAUUACCUGCCAAUAUCUCCACAUGAAAAGCAGGAUUUCCUUCUAUUUCGGUUUUAUAUUUCAAUUCUCUUAUUAUUAAACGAAGCAUUCUUGCUUCUUCCUUUUUUCCUAUUCUUUUUGUUUAAAAUGGUUUUCAACGUACUCAACAAAAUGUAUGCAACAUACAUUUGUCUACCUUCUUUGUCCAUGAUAUGGUGCUGAGUCUAAAGAUUGAUUAUUGUGUAACUGACUCCUUUUACUCCUUUCUGUUUGCUCUUUGUGACUUUGAACCAAUGGUGGCUUGUUCUUUCGCCAUCACAAGCUGAUAAUCAUGCUCACACCUGUUUGAUUGAAUGCCUAUAAGACAUUCUUACUCCUUUUUUAUGCCUACUAUCACUCAAAUUUUGUCUAGUUUUGUUCUUGUCGGUUUAUACAUGCCCGUUCCUGGGUUUAAAAGGUUACAUGUUAAUAUGGAAAUAUUCCAUCAAAGUACUUUAUAUUGUGAGCCAUGAAUUCGAUACUGCAAGAGGCUGUAAGCCAUUAAACAUUAUUUGUUGCUUACGUAUGCUGCAAGUUAACUGAUAAGAAUAGUGUGGCGAAAAAUAAGACAAGUAAAUUGAUAAGAAUUUGACUAUAUUAUUUGUUCCCAGUAUUUUAUCCUGGGAGACCUUAAUUUAAGUAGGUUGAAUACAUAAUUCACUCUUGUUUCCAAAGCUGGAACCAUGAUUCUUGCAGCAAUUAUUGUACAAAAUCCAUACAAUAUCGCCAUUUGACUGCUUAUAGCUCUUGUAUCUUUCAGUUCGUCUCCAUUGCAGCUUCAAAGUCACUGAAGCUUCCCCUCAGUAGUGCGCUCAUUCGAUUCAGAUGAUAAUCAAUUGUGACUCUCGCUUCUUCUUCAUCUUGACUCAGCAGCAUGUCUGGAAUUUGGAUGCUAUUUGAAUGUGAAGUUGGAUCAUACUUUCAUCUCAUUAUUCAGUCACACACUAAAGCUUGAAGUGAGAUCUAGGAAUGUGUCUUCACUGCAGGGGAUUGUGAUACCUCCCAUGGGAUGAUCAUAUCCAUAUUCUUCUUCAGCUUGACUCAGCAAAUCCAUGAAUGAAGGUUGGUUCAAGUAUGAUAUCGGAAUCACAAAUCUCUUCUUCUGGCUCUCCCCAACAUAGACUGCAAAAUAACCUUUUGGGAUUUCUAAGGUCUUUGAAGCUGUCUGGUUUCCAUUAGAUAGUGAUCGAAUAAGACUCCUCUUGGGGCUUGAAAUUUUAGGCAGCCGGAAACCCAUGGUUUCUAUAUUCUCAAGUGGAUAGACAAUGAAAAGACUUCAAGGAUAUGGGAAAGAGAGAAAGCUUUUAUGUUUAAUGACUGAAAGGAAUUGAGUUACUGAUAUUGAGUUCGUAUGUCUAUAUAUAUAGAUGAAGAAAGGGUGUGUGGAAGAUCAUCUGCUACAUGAAAUGAGUGGUUAAGAUUGGCACAAUUGAGGGACACUAUCUUGUUUCAAAUCAAGAAAUCACAUGGGAUUGUAUCGUACUUCACGUAACUCAUCCCCCCAGCAGAUGCAUAUGCUGCUGUCCUUUUUCAAAAGAAAAACAUCUAUCCCUACUUCCUUGAGAUGACAGACAAGACAGGGUCACAGGGACCAGAAAAACCUAGUAGAUAAGAACUCAUAAUAGCCCUGAUCAAGACUUGCACUUCUAUCCAGCACCGGACCACUGUUGAAUAAUGUUUCUUUACAUACAAGAAUGGGUGGAUGACCAAGCCAGCCUAGCCUGUAUUCUUGCUGCUUCAUGUAGGAUAUCUCUGAUAUCCAAAUUCCAACUGAGGAAGUAUCUCAUUUUGUCUUGUCAAUAAAGUAAAUUCGAUUUGAUGAUCAGCCAUGAUAAGCUAACAACACAGGUAUUGAUUUAAAUAUUUGAAUAUCAAUUUCAACCGUUUGUUAAAAUCCUAGAUUGAGUCAGUUAGAAAUUUGCACAAAGCUUUGACGUCUUGUUCUAACUACAUAAAAAGAUUGCAAACUGUAAAACAUGGUUGACACUUUUCAAGUAUGUUUGCCCCAUCUCUUAAUCUUUACACAGAAGAUACAUAUUUCCACAUGCAUCAAAAUUAAACCUUAGUUGUAUGCCUCAAAGGAACCUUCUUACAAUCGUACCUCUUUAUUUUCAUGCAUUAUAUAUGAUUAAAUAAGCCUCCUCAUAAUGUGUGUUGCUUUGUAGGAGAAAUAGCAGUCUUGACCAAAUGCUAAAUAGUAUAUCCUAAACUUCCAGUGUUGAGAAUCUUUACUGAAGUGAAAAAGCUGUUUUUAUCCAUGGAUUGCCAGUAGUGUACUCAAGUUACAGAGUGGACUGCCAUCUGCAGAUAUUUUAAUGUUAAUAUUUAUGUGCCCAUGCCAUUAUUGGAAAAUCAGAUAAGCCAUCAUAUCAUCAAGUAUUGUAUAUCAUUUUCAACAUAUAAUGUGAUUAUGUAAUUAUAUCACUACAAAAGUAUAACUGAUAUAUUGAAACAUAAGACAAGAAAGUUUAUCAAGAAUUGAAAUAUAUUCUUUUGCGUUCCCAUAUAAUUUAGAGAACAAGAAAGUUUUACAUAGGAUUAAAAAGACAGAACUUGACUGUCAUUGUUCAAAAUUUGGAGUUUCAUGUACUCCUGACUAACUGCUUAGAGAUCAUAUACUAGGUUCAUAUUUGCCUGCUUCAUAAGAUGUGAUUUGAUUCUUCUUCAAUAUUUGGAAUCUUUCUUUAG
rnacentral:lncRNA from 1 species